rnacentral:lncRNA from 1 species
UUUUUUUUUUUUUUUGCUUUUUUAGAUGGAGAAGAGAGUGUUUAUAAACAAAAAGGCGAUCGAUCGAGUGAUUAAAUGGUUUAUUUGCAACCGUUGAUAUCUUGGACGGUGGAGAUUUGUUUUUUUUUCCCUUGUUUUGGUACUUUGUGUGUAAAAUGUAUACGUGGUUUCUAAACUCCGUUAUAUGUGACACCGUGACCGACCUGGAAUAAGAAUAACGCCGUUACCGUCUUUGGUCUGCAGUCACGUCAACUUCCUCUGGCUGGUUGGUGGCUACAUCUAAAAAACUUGAAGCAUGAUAUAAUUUUUUUUUUGAAAUUGCUGGUUUUUUUUUCUUUUUCUAAUUUUAUAAAAUAAAUCAAAUUUAUCAUAUUUUUAAAUUUAGAUUAUAUUCAAAAUUUUCACUAAUAAUGAAUAUUCUUAUAUUUAAGUAAGUUUUUAAUCUUAAUAUUGUGAAUAGAGAAAAUAAUAUUCGAAGCGCUUGUUUUUUAAAUUGAAGUUGACUUGACUUGGAAUUUAUUUGAAAUUUGAGAUAUAAGUCAAAGACCGAAAUGAGAUUUUAUGAGAGCUCAUGCAAUCUUAUAUAUAUAUAACAAUUCAAGGUGUUUAUAUAAAGAUAGGGUUGUCGCGGUUUGUGAUAGUUCAUCCGGCAAGCCAAGAACUAUAGCAAAUAGUAAGUUUGGGUUCCCUGAUAGUUUAGUACAAAAGAAAAGGGAUGGGGUUAUGGUGGUUUGUUACGGUUCAUCUAACGAGUAUGAGCCACAGAAGAUAGUGAGUUCGAGUUCUUUGGCGAGUUAGUACACGAGAAGAGAGAGAAAGAGAGAUUCCCUUUUCCUUGGAUCGAGAUGGUCUUAUGCAUCACCAGUCAUUCUCAAUGUGUCAUGUCUCAUUCGAUCUUAUUACUUUCGCAUUCUUUAGAGCUCAACCGACUUACUAACAUCUCUUCCCCGUAAGUAUAGAUUAUCGUAUCAAGACAAGCAAAUAAAUGUGAUUUAGGGAUGAUAGAUACAACAUAAAAUAAGCAAUAGGCAUAACAUGUGAAUGGAUAUGGCAUAUGAAUGUUACCAAUACUUUAAGCAAGAGACCUAAUUAUUCCCUUCUGUUUAAGGACUUAUUGUACUUUAAACCUCUAUAGUCUUUGAUAGUUAUUGCCACCAUAAAUAUAUAUAUAUUGUAUUCUGGAAAAUAAUAAUAAUAAUAAUGAAGAUAUAUACCAUCUUAAGAAAUACAUGAUGGGUAGAUGAAAAUUUUAACACAUACAAUAACUCUUAAAUUUAUCAACUUUCUCUAAACAUAUAUAUACAGAUGAAUUCUAAUAAAUAAAUGGGAUCUUUGUAUUGCAAAAAUAAUGCCUUUUAGUUAUUAGAGUUGGUAUUGGUCGGAUCUAAUUAAGAAUUGUAGCAGAUGGAUUAAGUACGUAGGAAAAUAAAUGCAAGAUAAAUAUCCAAUCAAAUUGUCGGUUUAAAAUAUUUAAAUAUUCACCUUAUUUAUUAAAAAGAUAUGACAUUUAUUGAUUGAGUCUUAGUACAGUUGGUAUGAGUAUUGUUGUCAAUGUUGGAAGACGUGGGUUUGAGUGGAGUGAAGCGCAUUAUUCUCCUAUUCAUGGGUUGGAAAGGAGCUAUGAGUAGGUCUAGGCAUUAUGUCAAAAAUAACAAAUCUGAUCAGAACUUACAAUGGUUUAGAUGUUUAUCCCUUCUUAAGGAUUAAAAAAAUGAUUUUUCCAUUUGUGGGGGUCAAGGUCUCUACUUGCUCCCUCUAAAUUCGCCCACGUGUGCAAUGAUAAGACACAUUGUAUUCAUAAGUUUAAAUACUCAAGUUGGCAUUGUUGAAAGAGAUGGUUAUGAAGUAUUGAUUAUUAGCAAAAACUUCAAACUUCUAAUUAAUAUGAAGUAUUGGCGAGAAUUUUGUUUUCCAAUUCUGCCGAAAGGUUAAACUCUAAGUUUGGAUCCUUAACGCUUCAAGUAUUGUCUUGAGUGGACACUUUUUAUUUUGAACAAUCUUUUUAUAAGUUCUGAUCAUAUCUGUUCUUUUUGACACAAUACUUAAAAUUACUCAUAGUCCCUCCCCAACCCAUAAAUAGGAGGAUAAUGCGCUUCCACGUAUUCGAACCCACAUCCUCCUACAUUGACAAUAAUACCCAUGUCAAUCGAGUUAAGACUCAAUUUGCAAAUUUUGGACACUUUUAAAGUAGUAUAUGAAUGAAGACAAUCAUGAACCAUCUUUCAUAAUAAAUUUUGAUUGGAUAUAUUGUUGAAACAAGAGUUUCAAAGGAUGCAAUAUGCAAUGUGCUUAAUAUGAAAUUUCAAGAUAAAAGCAAAUGAGGGACCAAAUUAAUUAAGGUCCACAAAGUCUCAACUUCAAAAGGCAAUGUUUCUAAAGUCGAUGACCCUUUUCAUCAAAGUUGAACACUUUGCGGCUACCUUUAUCAACAUAAUUCAUCAUUGAGAGCUUUGAGAGAUUCCCUUUACUGUCAAGCCACAAUUGGAGAAAAUAAAAAAACAACUAUAAAAAUAAAAGGCAAAUAAUUUUUAUAUUAAAAAAUUAUAUAUACUAAUAUAUAAUAAAAAUUUAUUUAAUAUCUUGUAAUAAAGUUUUUGGGUAAACUAUCAAAAUAGUCACUUUUGUUUGCCUCAGGUUACAUUUUAGUCACUUAUGUUUGAAAUAUUACGUUUUAGUCACUUACAUUAUCGUGUUGUAACAUUUUAGUCAUUGAGCAGUUAAUUGUCAUUAAUGGUGUAACGGUAAGUUUACAUGACAUGUUAAAUAAUCAUUUCAAACAAAAAAUUUAGGUUAAAUUCUACAAUCGGUCCAUAUAUUUUAUUCAUUUUGAGAAAUUUAAUUUUUUUCCUUUUAUGUUUUUUAACUUUCUUUUUUUUUAUUUCGUUCUCUUCUGUUUCUCCCUUUAUUUUCCUCCAUUAUUCAUUUCUUUUAACGUAGUUUUUCUAUGUUUUCCAUUUGUUAAAACUAGUACACAAGCUCGCCUCACUCGAAAAUUUAAAUUGUUCAAAAAAAAUAAAAGUAUAGGAACUAGUUUUAACAAAUGAAAAAUAUAGAAAAACUAUGUUAAAAGAAAUGGAGAAUGGAGGAAAACAGAGGGAGAAACAGAAGAGAAUGAAAAAUAAAGAAAAAAUGAGAGUUAAAAGAACAUAAAAAAUUAAAUUGCUCAAAAUGAAAAAAAUAUAAGGACCGAUUGUAUAAAUUAACUUAAAAUUUUUGUUUGAAAUGAUAUUUAACGUGCCACGUUAGCUUACCAUUACAUCGUUAAUGACUUGUGACUAAAAUGUUAUAACGCGAUAACAUAAGUGACUAAAACGUAACAUUUCAAACAUAAGUGACUAAAAUAUAAUCUGAAGUAAAUAAAAGUGAUUAUUUUGAUAAUUUACCCUAAAGUUUUUAGACUUUACAACGAAUUAGGUUGAAAGGGGUGAGAUAUGUCAUUGUUUUGUAAGGUUGAGUUCGGGUUUUUUUAAAUGUAUUUUUUGAAUUGUUCAUGAUAAUUUAAUUCGUUUUUAACUUUAUAUUUGACUAUUGAACAUUAAUUUGUAUUUUAAAUUAUUUUUUAUAUGUAUUUUAAAUUAUUUUUAUUAUUUUAAAUAUAAAAUAUUUAUUUUUACAUAAAAAAUAGUUAUAAAAACUAUAAAAAAUAGAAUUAAAUUUGGUUGGAUUAUGUUAAUCUUAGCUUUUUAAUAUGCAAUUACUUUUGAGACCCGUGAAUCUUUCUUGCUUUAUAAGUUUUAGUUAUAUAUAUAUACACGGUAAAAGUAUCAUGGAGAUCUAUAUACUAAGAGUCGGAUUGCAUUUUAUUUCCUCUACUAAAAAUGAGCAAAUCAAUCCAUGUACAUUAAAUUAAAGAGAAAUUGGCUCUUUUGUUAAAAGUUCCAUUCAUUUCUCUACGGUUAAAAACCGGUCUCCAUACAUCAGCAUGAGGUACGCGUGGCACAUCACAUAUCAUUGUUUAGUUAUUUCGUCAAUCAUGCCAUCAAUUUGCUCCUUCAUCUAAUGUAUAGGGAUUAAUUUACCUAUUUUUUGUGUAAAAAGAACAAAAUACAAUCUGACCCCUAAUACAUAAACUUUUUUUUUGUUAGAAAAUAAAGCAUAAUCAAUUAACUAAAAUUAUCAAGCCUCAACAUAUGCUGCUUUUGAAUGUAGCGCAUGUUGGAUAUCCUCUUCCAAUAUGUGUCUCACAUUCUAUGGUGGGUCAUUAAGAACAACCAACUGAUUCAUCCUACCUCUUGCCUCAUUAUCUAAGCAAUCAACAACCUUGUUGCUAUAUCUCUCAAAAUAAGUCGACAUUUCACCUCCCAACCCUUGUAGAACCAUUCAUGAAUCAUUCUAACUUCGACUAUAUUAUUGACCGCUGCUAAUCCAUUGUGCAAGGUGUCAAUUAGCAGAGCAUUAUCACUUUUAAUCUCUACCUUUUGAAAACUCCUUGACCAAGCUAAUUUCAAUCCUUCCAACAUUGUCAAUGCCUCGACUUGAAAAUAUAUGACAUCCCUGUCACCAUUUCGGAACCCACCAUCCAGCCUCCAAUUGGAACUCUUAUUACUUCUAUAAUACUUUUACCAUAUAUACACAUAAAAGAGAAUGGGUUAGUAACAACUUUUUUUUACUUUUUUUUUCUCCAUUUUUGUACUUUCUAAAGCAAUGACAAAGUUAGAUGGAAAAAGAAAAUUCCUAGUAGAUAAAAACAUUUGAUGCAUUCAUUUCAAAAACAUGCCACGACAAGAUAACAGACAUGGCUCACAGUUGACAGAUGGGUAGGUUUUAUAUAUAUAUAUACACACACUUAUAUAAAGAACAUAAAAAACACAUAUGUAUUGAUUGUAUGAAAUUAGGUCUUUUGGGUUGGGCACUGGGGAAGUUGCACUAGGUCUCAGUUUAAGCACUGAAAAACUGUCAUUGCACGUACUGCUAAAUAAUAAUCAGCUGGUGAGGUUUUCAAUUCCUUCUUUGAAAGCCUCCACGUGUAUAUAUUUAUGAUCUUACUGCAUAUCUAGCAGCUAACCCUAACUAGUUCUUCAUAUCAAUAUUUACUUGUAUUUUUUCCCAUCUAGAGUGUGUGAGCGGGUUAUCUCAAGAGCAAGAGUACUUUGUUGGGAUGGACCACCUACCAAGGAAAUGUAAAUAUUUACGUUCGGUAAGAUUUGUGUAAGAGAGAGCAAUUUUCGGUUUAAACCAAGAAAACUGACUCAAAUGGUUUGGGCAGUUUUUCCGAUUAUGGGUUUAGUUUUGUUGAUUAUUUCGGUCAGUUAUUGAUUUUUAAAUUUUUAAACUGGCUUGACUAAAGAAGAGACUUAAUUUAAUAUGUUUUUUAAUUAUUUAAAAAUAUUUAUAAUUUAUAAAAUAAAUAUAUAUUAUUUAAGCCCAAUAACUAAAGUUGGUUAAUCGAUCAACCUAAAGUUGGUUCAGUUAUGUUAGUUUUUGAGCUUUAAUUUGAUCAGAUCGGUUUUUGUAGUUUAUGAUCUGUUAAAUAGAUUUAAUAAAAAAAACCAAUCGAAAUGACUGAAAAACUGAAUGCUCACCCUUUGAUAGGGCACUUGUGGGCAACUAUGCUACUAUUUAGUGGUUAUGGGACGACGACACUUUGAAAAAAUCUUUUAAAGGAGUCAGAAGCCCUUCCAUAAUAUAUAUAUUGUUCCAAGUAAUUUUGAGUAUAUUUUUAUUUUUUUUAAAAUAUUCGUGUUCAAUACAUGUAUGCAACACCCGAUGACGGAAUGUAAUAGGAGCUAGAAGGUGCUUCAGCCCUUAAAAAUUGAGAAAUUGUCAUUAAGCCUUUCAAAAAAUUUGAAAAUUUUAAAAGUUCUCAUUAAAUCUCAUGGUUUUUGGAAUUGGAUCGAUGGUCGAACAAAUCAAAUCAUCCGUUCCUAGUUCAACCAAUCUAGUUUCAAUAAAAUAAAUUAUUAAAAAAUUAUAAACUCAGUUCAACUACCAGCUCAACAAUUUUUUAUCCUGAUAUGUAAGUCAACUAGUUCUUUCCCUUGAUCUAGACUGGUGUACUGACCGCUUCGAUCCAAUUUCAACAACCAUGUUAAUUCUCUCAAUAUUUUUAAUUAAAUUCCUAAUUUUUAAAAAAAAAAUUAAUUACACCUAUUAUACUAUAUCUAUAUGCCAACAUGGAGGACAAAUGCAAAAGCAAAUAAAUUAUGAUUGAUGAAUGUGUCAUCAUUCAAACGAUUUUCAUCGUCAGUGAAAUUCACUUUGAAACAUGGCACUACACCUACCAAUAAUUAAUUCCAACAAAAAUAUGUAUUCAAUGCAAAUUAUUCCAUUAGUUGGAUAUGGUUUUGAGUGAAUUUAAUUUCAAUUUAAUUAAUUUGGAUUUUAAAAUUUCUGGACUCGAGUAAUUUUAAAUUCAAAUUAUUUUAAGUUUGAAAUUUGAGUUUUCAAAUCGGACAUUUCAAGUUUCAUAUGUAAAUAAUUUCGAGCUCAGAUAAAUUUUAAUAUCAGAUUAUAUUGAAUUUAAAUUUAAAUUAAUCGAAUCAAAUUUUUCUCAAGGUUACAACUACCUUAUCUUUCCCAAAAUGUUUUCUCAAAUUUAGAACCACCCAAAAAGUUCAAAAGGGGCCUUAAGAGAAAAAAAAAAGAAAAAGAAAAAAAGGUGUUGAAAAACAUACUUUUGUGGCUAACAUCUACCAAUCCUUGAAGGGAUGAGAUUGAAUGUAAUACUUUUGUUAAGUGGGGAAAAAAGUUUCUUUGGACAUAUUAAUCUCUGUAAUGCUACAUAUUUGGAAUUAAUUUUUUAUACUAUUUGUUAUUUAAGUUUGAUUUUAGUGUUCAAUUUGGUCCCUGAGUGUUUUUUUUUUCAGUUUGGUACCUAAGUUUUGCUUCAAUAUUCAAAUUGGUACUUGAGUUUUUUUUCUCAAUUAAAUACUUAUAUGUUUUUUUACUGAAGUACACAUGUCAAAUAUUCAUUUGACCACAUGAUGUCAUCUGGACUGGGUACCAAAUUGAACAUUAAAGAGAAACUCAGUAUUAAAUGGUAUAUUAACCCUCAAGUAAAUUACACCCAAGAUUACUAAACUAUUAGUAAAUUUAAAUUUUAGCCACUCAAUUUCAAAAAGUUACAAAAUGAUCACUAAACUAUUCAAAAAUUUUCAUUUAAGUCACUGAGCUGUUAAAGUCGUUGUUGUAUGGCCUUCUCUGUUCUCACUGCCUGAACCAAUCGAAAACUCUCGUUCCCUUUAUCUUCUACAGUUCAAAAUUCAAAUAGCUUUCUUAUUCGGUCUCUGGCACUGAUUGUCUAAUCAACUUGAUCUAAGGUAUGCUCUUCUACUUGUUGACGAGUAUUGAUCCACCAUACCUAAUGAUUUAAAUGAAAAUUUUUGAAUAGUUCAAUAACUUAAAUGAAAAUUUUUGAAUAGUUCAGUGACCAUUUUGUAACCUUUUAAAGUUGAGUGACCAAAACAUAAACUUACUAAUAGUUUAGUGAUCUUGGGUAUAAUUUACCCUUUUUUUUGUACCUAAACUUUUUUAUCCCAAUUAAGUACUUAUGUAUUUUUUACUAAAUUACACAUGUCAAAUAUUUAUUUGACCACAUCAUGUUUAAUCUGGGUACCAAAUUGAGCAUUAAAAAGAAAAGUCAGAUAUUAAAUGAUAUAUUAACUCUCGGAUAAAUAUAGAGUGACAAAGUAACAGUUUCAUCUAUUUACAAUUACACAAAAUGCAUUGUCUAGAUAUAAUCUAUUUAGGGUUAUUUUGGAUGAGCGUUUAUCUCCAGUGUGGUGCGUUCAGCUUUCUUUUUGUUUCACGUUACAAUAUCUAAUCUCACUGUCACCACUAUUUUUAUACUAACCGCAAGUAAACGCACCAUCCAUCUAAAGCAACCCUUAGAAUAACUUUUUGCUUCUAACGUUUUGAUAUUUUGACUUAUUAUUCAUGUAGUUAAUAGUCCUUCUUGGCUUCUAAUUUUAGCAAUGUCGGUUUAUUAUUGAAUCUUUUAAUUUUAGUGCAUAAAACAAUCAAGUAAAUUAAGCUUUCUUAAGAUUGAAAAGAUUGGUUAGCUUUUGCUUUUGCUUUUACCUUUUUGUUUUUGUCUUAUUAAUGUUUCUAUUGUUAUUUCUUGAGUUAUAAUACAUAUUUAGUUUUAAUAUUUAAUUUAGUAUUUGAGUUUUUUUAUCUCGAUACUUAAAUUAAAUAAUCUCAUGUUGUUUAAUAAAUAUUUGAUAUAUGUGUUUUGGUAAAAAAAUAGGGAUUUAAUUGAGAUAAAAGAAAAAACUCAGGUACCCAAAGUGAAUAUUGAAGUCAAACUUAGAUACUUAUAUGAGACAAAGAAAAACACAAGUAUCAAUUUAAAAAAAUGUAGGUAUCAAGUUAAACAUUUAGGUUAAACUCGAGUAUCAAAUUGAGAUAAAAAAUUUAAAUACUAAAUUAAAUAUUGAAGUCGAACUCAUGUACCAAUAAUGUAUUAACUUAUUAAAAAUAUGGACGAAUCUAAUAUGGGCAUGCAAAUAAUAAGUGAUGUAUUAAAGCAUUAAAAAGAAAAGCACUCAAAACCAGUGGUCGAGAGUUCAAUCCUUGCCCUGGAAUGGAACAACUUUAAAACUCGUGGCUAGUAUUUAUCCUUUUAAUAGGCCUAUUGAAUGCGGAAGAUUAAUUACUGGGCUCGCUCCAACAAAUACCUUCGGAAAGAAAAGCACUCAAGAUACUAAUGUAGUAUUUAUGUUCAAAUUUAGAUGUUUCACCCUAUUCUGUCUAGCGUGUCAUGAAUAAUAGUCAAUUGAUGAUUUUAAAACGUUUGAAUGAUGCCUUUAUCAUCACUGGCGGUGGCUGUUUUAAGCGGAGGAGAAGGCGGAGGAGCCUCCGGAAAAGUUACCUUCAUUUAGCUAAUAGGGUUUUAAUGGGCCGAUCCGUAAUGCAAUCUAAGAUUUUUCAAACAUUUUAAUGGGUUGAACCGAGUUUUAUUUAAACUUAGUGAUCAACCCAAGCGAGUUAUAUUUAUUAGACUAAAUGAGUUGCUAAAUCCUUGAAAAGUCUAAUACCCACCUAAAUCAUGUUUUCACUAGAUCUGUUCAAGGAUAGACCUAUUUGUUAAAGCUCGAAUGUCUAACAAAUAUAUAAGCGGGUAUAAACCAAAGUAUGAUGCUCAAAAAAUGGGUUUAGACAAAAAAAAUUAGACGCAUUUAAAAUAUGAGUCGAGCUUGAGCUUCAACAUGAAAGGUUAAAGCUCUACUCAUUUUCUACUUUGUAUAUAUAUUAUUUUAUUUUAUAUAUUAUGUAAUAUAUAUCAAAUAAAAUUAAAUAUAAAAUACUAUAAUAUAAACAUUAAAAAUAUGUAAAGUUGUUUAUGUUUAAAAUUUAAUAAAAGAAAAAAAUACUUGUACCAAAAAUAAAAGAAAAAAAUUAAUAAUUAAUGUAAUUUUAACCGUUUUUACAAAAUAAUAAUACGGGCAUGGCUAAAAUAAGCUUGAGUUAACUAUUUACAAAUAUAAGUGGGCUUAGGCAAAAUUUGAGGCUAAUAUUUCAGGCAAUGCGAAGUUUGGGUGAACAUAAAAUGUACUAAUAUCGUACAUAGGCCUGAUCCAAACCCAACCUAACCCAUGAACACCUCUACCUAUCAGAAUAGAUCUCAUCUUCGUUUUUAUUUUAUUGUUCAUCUUAACGGUGUGUUGCCAAAAAGUAAUUGCAAGUAAGGUUGAGUAAGAAAACCGAAAAAUCAAAAACCAACUCGAAUCAAUAUAUUUGGACAGUUUAUAGAAUGCAAGAUUAGAAUCACGGUUGCCCAAAAACGAACUGAAUUCUAAUUUUUAUUUAAUAUAUAAUUAAUUUUAUUUUUAUGAUAUUAAAAUAAAUAUUUUACAUUUCAAAUAAUAAAAAUAAUUAAAAGUUCUUGGAAAUUUAUUGUUUUUUAAAAAUAUAAAUGAAAAAAACUUUAAAAUUUUGUCAAUAAUAUUCUAAAUUUAUAAAACAAAGCUAAUCUUGUCAAAAUAAAUUUAGAAAUCCAAAACCAAAAAUUAAAAUGAAAAAAAUCAAGAGCCGAACCAAAUUAUUAUGGGUGAUAAAAGAAUUUCCGAAAAACUCGACCGAACCAAACCAAUAUCCCUCCUAGUUGCAAGCAUUGAGGUUACAACCUCUUGUGAUUAUAAAGAAUUUUAAUUCACUAAAGCUAUUUGACGAGCAUAGCAUAAUUAUAUAUCAAUAAUUUGGAAGUCGUCGGGGUUAAUUACUCCCGUAAUUCCUCCAAUCUCAAUCUCUUUCUUAAGAUUUGGAUAGCAUAAUUGGAGUACUCUAAUUACACUCAAUUCAAUAAAAUUUUAUAAUUAUAAUAAUUAUCCAAAUAUGUAUAAUUACAUAUAAUUAUAUCUAAAUUAAUUUUAAUUAUUUUCAACUUAUAAAGCAUAUUAAGCAACUUCUAGCUAAACCGUGGGAGGUGAAAAUUCUACUUAUGCUCAGAGAAGGUAACAAAGUUGCGGAUAGCCUCGCUAAAUUGACAGUUCAUCGGCGACCUAGAACUUAUAAUUUUGAUUGUCCGCCACUUGCUCUUCUUCGUUUUGUUACUGUAGAUGUUAAUUAAUAGCCGAAAGGGUUCAAAAAAUCAAGUUAGAUUUAAGGAGAGCUCACAUAUAAUUAUUCAAAAAUUAAUAAAUGAUAAAUUUAAGAGUAAAAGUAUCAUGGAGAUCCUUGUACUAGGAGUGGAAUUAUAUUUUGCCCCCUCUACUAAAAAAUAGUUAAAUUAGUCCCUAUACAUUAGAUUAAAGAACAAAUUAGUCAUUCUGUUAAAAACUUUAUCCAUUUCUACUAGGUAUGUCAAUAGGGUGGGGCAGAUAUUGCUAAAUCCACUACUGCUCACAAUUGGCACGUUCAAUUCCACCACCCGCCCCACUCCAUUAUGGAUGUAUAAAUUUAAAAACCACUACCCCCUCCAUAGAUGUUGGAUCCAUCCAUCAUUGCCCCAACCCGUUUCGCUUGAAUCUAAUUUUUGCUAUUUAUCUUUAAUAUUUUCAAAUUUUCAAAAUCAAGUAAAAUAUUUAAAUAUAAUUCUUUAAAAAACAUAUUUCAACAUUAAAUAUAUGAUUUUUUUUCUAUAUUUUGUUAUUACACUUUUACCCUUUUAAUCGUUUAUAUAUAUAUAUACAAGGAUACCAUGAUAAUUUUAUAUAGUAGAGCGGGUCGGGCUGGGACAAGCAAUUACUGUAACCGCUCCAUACUCACUACCUAAAAGAAAAAAUUCAUUCUGCCCGCAUCCACUUUUCAAACAAAAAAAUGUGUUCCAUUUAAAGUGGAUCAACUCGGAAUCCAUCCUUAAUUUCUACUAUUAAAAAUUGGUCAUAUAUAUCGAUAUCGACAUGAGGUACACGUUUCAUCAGGCAUGCCAGUUUUUAAAAGUAGCAAUGGAUUAAAUUUUUAACAUAAAUGACUAGUUUGUUCUUUUAUCUAACAUAUAGAAACUAAUAUAUUUAUUUUUAAGUAAAUGGGAAAAUACAAUUUAAUUUCUAGUAUAAGAGACUCUAUAAUACUCUUAAAUCCAAAUAUUCAAUGAUAAAUUUGAAUAACUCGAGCUUAGAAUAUAAUCAUAACCCAAAAUUUAUCCUAAACCCUAAAAUUAUUCACACCCAAAAUUAAUCUUAUCCAAAUGAAUUCAACCUUAAGUUUUAGGCCUUACCCUGGUUAAUGAACUCUGCAACUUUUUUCAGCAUAGCCACAGCAUUUGGGCAGUUGGGUUUGUUUAAAUGGAACACAUGGUCUUCUCCUUGAGCCUCCAUCAUCUCCACUUCACCACCCCACUCACUGUUCUUCAACUUCUCGCAAUAGUACCAGCCCCUGUGUCUCAUUACAUCCUUUUCUGCAACACAAACCAGUACCCUUUUACAUCCCAAGAACCUCCCAAAGCUUUGAUCAUCAAUGGGGUUUAUCCAUGGAUCAUCGGAUCCGCUUGUUGUAGGAUACGCCAAUCGCCAAAUCCCAUCCAUUUUUUCCCUUAUAGCUGGUUUCUUAACCUCAUCGCCAACCGGUUCUUUGCCCCAAAAAAAUGGAUGGUUUAAAAUGAUACCGACGAGAUUCAUACCGUCGAGCUUUUCGUUGGUGAUUUUAACGGCGAGAUGAUGGGAUAUGUUGGCACCGGCGCUAUCCCCUGAGAGAUAAACAUUUGCAAAGUCAACGUAGUGGUUCAACCACUGUUCAGGACCGGUUCCGAUGUAAUGGGAAGCGACCCAUUUAAGGGCGGUCCAUGAAUCGUCGUACGCGGCGGGAAGUGGGUGCUCGGGGGAUCUCCGGUAAUUGACUGAAACAGCGACGAUUUUAGCUUCGGCGACUAAGGCGUUUAAGUAAUUGUGAUACGUAGGAGAGAAGGCGCUUUCUAUGCAGAAGCCUCCGCCGUGGAAGUACACGAGGAGAGGGAGUUUCUGGGCGGAGGUGACGACGGUUCCGGGAACGUAAAUCCUUACGGAUUGGGCGAUUUCUUGGGAGUAAAGGACGUCUUUGGAUUCAACGUUGGUUUUGGGGUCGAGGCCUGGAGGGACGUUUUCGGUACCUGAAAGCCUUUUGAUGCGACCGUCCUUGUAUAAGCGAAAAAAAGGAGCGCCGUCUAUGAGUAUCUCCGAUGCGGCGGAUUCCAUGGCGGUGAAAAAGAAACAAAGAAGAUACAAAAGGCAAAGCACAAAGAUUACAAAGAUGGUGGAAUAUAUAAUAAAAGGAAAAAUGAUGAACGUAGAUUACAAAGAUGGUGAAUAGAUUAUGGUGCAUUGUAAUGAGCUAGCGGCACUGUGCAUUGUAAUGAGCUAGCGGCACUCUCUUAAGAACCAAUGUUGCUUCAACCACAGUUAAGGUAUUAAUUUGGGGAGGAGUUUUAAAUAGGUUAAUUCGAGAAUUGAUAUUGAAAAUUUUAGUCGGGUAAGAUUGUUUUAUUAUUUUUAAUAAUUUUUUAAUUGGAUUAGUCGAAUCAAUGAAUUAGUGUUUGAUCAAUCAUAGGUUAGAUUUAGAAUACAUUGUUAAGAACUAGACUAGUCGGUUGGACCGAAUGAAUCAUUCUUUUUUAAAUUGAGAUAAUAUAAUUUUUGGCCCGUGAAUUUAGCAAUUAGAUCUACUUUGUUAUAUAAACUUGAUGCUUAGAUUCAUUUUGAUCACUAAACUUAAAAAUUAUAAAAAUUUGAUAAUGUGGUACUUAGAGUGUCACAUAUAGUGUUUUAAUAAUUGGACUAGUCUACUGGUUCAUGAUUUAAUCGAUUUGAUUGGCUCAAUUGCUAGAUCAACAAUAAUUAAAAAUUCAUAUAUAUUUUUUUUAAAAACUAUUAAAUUGGUUUGACAUAUUCAACUAUUGGUUUUUGUCUUGAUUUUUUAUUGUUAUCGGUUUCAAGCAAUUUCUAAUUUAAUCAAUUCAACUCUUUUGUUUGGACUAGUAUAUCGGUCAGUUCUCGACCCAAUUGGUCCGACCAUCCAAUCCAGUUAUGUUCCAAGAACACUGGUCACAAUAUCAAAUUUUAACGAAAUAUUAAUUCAUGGGCCAAAAUGGAUUUAAUUACCAAGUUCAGGUACCAAAAUGAAUAAAAAAAUACAUGUACCAAAAUAGAUCUAGUUGCCUAGUUCAAAGGGAAAAAAAUCAUAUUACCCCUUUUUAGUUUUAUAAUUUUUUUUAAAAAAAAUUAUUCAAUUGAAUCGACCAAACCGAUUCAACCUAUCAAACCAAAAAAUAAUAAUCUAACCGGUUUAACCAUCAAUUCACUUUUAAAGAUUUUGAGCCUAAUCAUUGAGGCCAUUGUCUUGUUUAAGAACUAACCUUAAAUUAUAACAUUUUUAUCAUUUAAGUAUUUAAAUUUUUUUUUUAUCAAAAGUAGUACUUAAACUUACUUUUGCGUUAAUAAAAUUCUUAAUGAAGAAUUGUAAUGGGUUAAAUAGGAUGAAGAUCAAUCAGAUUAAAAAUUGAUUGAUAUAACACGAAGAGACACAAAAAAAAUAGUUGAUUUGUAAAUUAAUAUAAACUUAUUGACCUCGACUAGAAAAAAUUAGUUGAAUAAGAUGUUAUAGUUUUUUUAAAAAUGCAAUGUUUUAAAUAAAUUUUUAAUAAAUUAUUUAAAACAUUGCAUUUUUGCUCAUCAAUAAUUUGUAAUAAGACAUGGAUGGCAUAGAUGAUAGUUUAUAUUUAUUACAGAAAAAGAUAAACGCAGGAGACAAUGAGGAAAACAUAAAAACAAAUGAAUAUGUUGAGAUUAAAAUAUUUAUCUUAAAAUAAAUGUCAAUUUUAAAAAGAAAAUUUUGAAACAUAGCAAGGGAAUUGACUUUGGAUAAAAGGACAAGCAGAUAGAUCACAAUCAAUUAAGAAUUAUUGAUGUUAAAAUAUUGGUUAUUUUUACGAAUAAGUUUUAGCUCGAUUGGUAUGGAUAUUGUUAUUAAUGUAAGAAAACGUAUGUUCGAGUAUGUCAAAGCACAUUAUCCUCUUAUUUUAAUUAAUAAUUCAACAGAGAAAUAAUUAAAAUAUCAAAUAUUAAUAAAAUUAGUGAUUAAAAUAAUUUAUUGUGAAAAUAAUUCAACCUACAUAUUAUAAAAAAGGAUAUCAUCCGAUCAACUCAAGUAAUCCAAACUUAAAAUAAAAUAAACUCUAAACCAUCCCAACCCAAAAUAACUAUAAGAUCAAAAUUAACAAAAUUCAAAAAUAAUUCAAACCAAAAACAACUUUAAAAAUUUAAAAUCCAAAUCCGAAUCGAAUUGCUGGGUAUUGUUCAUAUUAUCAUCCAAAACACAAUUCAACACUAAAUUACUAUCCCAAUUAUACUUUUUUACAGCUACUUUUAAGCCUUAUCCUGGUUCAUGAACUCUGCAACUUUUUUCAGCUUAGCCACAGCAUUUGAGCAACAGGGUUUGCUUAAAUGGAACACAUGGUCUUCCCCUUCAGCCUCCACCACCUCCACUUCACCAUCCCACCCACUGUUCUUCAACUUCUCGCAGUAGUACCAGCCCCUGUAUUUCAGUAUAUCGUUUUCAGCAACACAAAUCAGUACCCUUUUGCACCCUAAGAACCUCCCAAAGCUUUGAUCAUCAAUGGGGUUGAUCAAUGGAUCAUCGGACCCACUUGUUGUAGGAGAGGCCAAUCGCCAGAUCCCUUCGAUUUCCGCCCAUACGGCUGGGUUCUUAUCCUCAUCGCCAACCGGUUCUUUGCCCCAAAAAUAUGGGUGGCUUAAAAUCAUACCGACGAGAUUCAUACCGUCGAGCUUCUCCUUGCUGGUUUUAAUGGCGAUGUGGUGUGCUAUGUUGGCACCGGCGCUAUCCCCCGAGAGAUAAACGUUUUCGAAGUCGGCGUAGCGGUUCAACCACUGUUCGGGACCGUUUCCGUCGUAAUGGGAAGCCACCCAUUUAAGGGCAGUCCAUGAAUCGUCGUAAGCGGCAGGGAUAGGGUGUUCGGGGGCUCUUCGGUAAUCGACGGAAACGGCGACGAUUUUAGCUUCGGAGACUAAGGCGUUUAAGUAAUUGCGAUACGUAGGAGAGAAGGCGGUUUCUAUGCAGAAGCGUCCGCCGUGGAAGUAGACGAGGAGAGGGAGUUUCUGGGCGGAGGUGAAGACGGUUCCGGGGACGUAAAUCCUAACGCAUUGGGCGGUUUCUUGGGAGUAAACGACGUCUUUGGAUUCGACGUUGGUUUUGGGAUCGAGGCCUGGUGGAACAGUUUGAGUGCCUAAAAGCCUCUCGAUGCGACCGUCCUGGUAUACCCGAAGCAUCGGAGCGAAGUCGAUGCGGAUUUCCGAUGCGGUGGGUUCCAUGGCGGUGAAAAAAGAAAGAAGAUAAGGGAAGCAAGCACGAAGAUGGAGCUUGUUACUUGCAGGAUGAUAUAGUGGCUGAUGGCUCUACUUGGAUUACCAUAUAAGACAAUAUAAAAAGGUUUAAUAUACUACUUGGUACCUAAGUUUGGCUCUAAUGUUUAAUUUGGUACCUUAUUUUUUUCUCAAGAUCUCUUGAGUUUGGCUUCAAUGUCUAAUUUGAUACUCAGACCAAACGGCAUCAUGUGGACCCAUAAAUGUUUGAUACAAUACUCUAAUAAAAAAUAUGUACUUAAUUGAGAAAAAAAAAGACACUAGCAUCAAAUUGAACAUUUGAAGCCAAAUUUAGGUGCUUAAUUGGGACAAAAAGAAACUCAAGUGUCAAAUUAAAAAAAAUAAGUACCAAUUUGAGCAUUGAAACCACAUUCAAGUGUUAAAUUGAGAUAAAAAAAAUGUUAGAUAUCACAUUGAACAUUGAGAUCAAACUUAGAUAUCAAAUGUUAUAUUAAUCUGUUAAAAAAAUAUUAAAAUAUUACGAUCCAUUAAUUAAAUGUAAUAUUUUUUUUGAAAAUUUAGAGUUGAUUUGAUUAAAUUUUAUUUAUAUUAUUAUUAGUUAAUUAUUAAAUUUCAUUAGAUCAACCCUAAAACCCGAAUUAAAUAUUAAAAGGUUAACAUCAUCACCAAAAGACAUAAUGACAAAUUUAGCCUUUGACAUUUACAUCUUUUAUCAAAUUAACCUUUAUUCUUUUUUCAAGCUAAAUUUGGUUCUCAACGUUUGAAUAUAUACAUAUAUUAUCAUUACAAUAUUGAAAUUAUUAUACAAUAUAUUUUGAUAGCCAGGUCGAAAAUUUUAAAAAAAUAAUAUCAGUGCGAAGAUUAAAGAAGAAAGCUGUUUAGAAUUUGGUUCGUAGAUUCGUUACGUUCAAAUCUAUUGCAUGAAGAAAAAAAAUUGAACUUUAAAAGAGAAAGAGAGUUUUCGAUUAGUGCAGACAGUGUGAACAGAGAAUGCCAUACAACAAAAUUUUUAAUAGCCCAAUGACUUAAAAAUGAAAACUUUCGAAAAAUUCAAUAAUCAUUUUAUAAAUUUUUGAAGUUGAAUAACAUAAACGUAAAUUUACUAAUAGUUUAAUAACAUUAGGCAUAAUUCAAUUUUAAAAAAUUCCAAACUUUAGUUAUUAUAUAUGCAAUUUGAAGAAAAAAAAUGAGGGGAAAAUAUUUAUGACCAUCCUAGGUUGUUAGCAAGUGAGAGUUGUAAUCUAAACCUAAUUUUAUGGGAAGAUUAAAAUUGAAGUUAUAGUAUGGUUUAAUGAAAUACAUAUAAUAAAUAUUAUAUUUAACCUAAUAAAAUUAUCACAUUAAAAAAUUAAAGCUGGUUAAUUGAUCAACCUAAAGUUGGUUCAAUUAUGUUAGUUUUUGAGCUUUAAUUUGAUCAGAUUAAUUUUUGUAGUUUAUGGUCUAUUAAAUAGAUUUAAUAAAUAAAAAAACCAAUCGAAAUGGCUGAAAAACCGAAUGCUCACUCUCACCCUUUGAUAGGGCACUCGUGGGCAACUAUGCUACUAUUUAGUGGUUCUGGGACGACGACACUUUGAAAAAAUCUUUUAAAGGAGUCGAAAGUCCUUUCACAAUAUAUAUAUUGUUCCAAGUAAUUUUGGGUAUAUUUUUAUGUUUUUUUUUAAAUAUUCGUGUUCAAUACAUGUAUGCAACACCCAAUGACGGAAUGUAAUUGGAGCUAGCCCUUAAAAAUUGAGAAAUUGUCAUUGAGCCUUUCAAAAAUUUUGAAAAUUUUAAAAGUUCUCAUUAAAUCUCAUGGUUUUUGGAAUUGGAUCGAUGGUCGAACCAAUCAAGUCAUCUGUUCCUAGUUCAACCAAUCUAGUUUCAAUAAAAUAAAUUAUUAAAAAUUAUAAACCCAGUUCAACUACCAGCUCAAUGAUUUUUUAUCCUAAUCUGUAAGUCAACUAGUUCUUUCCCUUGAUCUAGAUGGGUGUAUUAACCGCUUCGAUCUGAUUUCAACAACCAUGUUAAUUCUCUCAAAAAUUUUAAUUAAAUACCUAAAUUGAAAAAAAAAAUUACAACCUCGAAUUUAUUUUUUAAAAAUUAAUUUUAAUGCCACAUUCUGUGAACGACAACACCUACUAUGUCUAUAUGCCAACAUUGAGGACAAAUGCAAAAGCAAAUAAAUUAUGAUUGAUUAAUGUGUCAUCGUUCAAACGAUUUACAUUGUCUCUUAUAAAAGUGAAAUUCAAUUUGAAACAUGGCACUACACCUACCAAUAAUUAAUUCCAACAAAAAUAUGUAUUCAAAUUAUUCCAUUAGUUGGAUUUGGUUUUGAGUCAAUUUAAUUUCAAUUUAAUUAAUUUAGAUUUUAAAAUUUCUGGACUCGAGUAAUUUUAAAUUUAAAUUAUUUUAAGUUUGAAAUUUAAGUUUUUAAAUUGAGCAUUUCAAGUUUCUUAUGUAAACAAUUUCGAGUUCAGAUAAAUUUUAAUAUCAAAUCAUAUUGAAUUUAAAUUUAUAUUAAUCGGAUCAAUUUUUUCUCAAGGUUACAACUAGCUUAUCUUUCCCAAAAUGUUUUCUCAAACUGUAUUUAUAGCAUAAAUUUUUAAAAUAUCAAAUCAUAUAAAAAUUGUAUUUAUAGCAUAAAUUUUUAAAAAUAAUAAAUUUAAUUAAAUUUUAAAAAAUUAAUAAUUAAAAUAAGUAAAUUAAAAUAUGGGAAAGAAAUGCAUCACCAUGAGAGCGAAUAUGAUAAUAAUAGAAAAAAGUCAAUUCAAUCGAUUUUUUAAUUUACUUCAACCGAUUUCGUGUGAUUUUGCUCAAAAUUUGAUUCAAGUUUUUGUUCGUAUUGAUAUAUCAAACGAUUCCCAAUCCCACUAGUCCGAUUCAACUUUAACAACCAUGAAAUUAAUAGCUACAAUUCUUUAUUUAUAGGAUCAAUUUUAGGUUGAGCUCUUGUAUAAUAUUUGAGCGAUUUUCAAUUAUUUCAAUAGAAAUCUUCAAAGUAUUGUUCGCUUGAAAUUGAUAGACUUCUCAAGAUAUCUAAUAUUGUCUCUUGUUGAGGUUUUAUCUCUCAACUCUGACAAGAGCCCAAAUGCUUGAAGCUACUUAAAGAGACUAUAAGUCCAAUAAAGAGCAUCUCAUCACAAUAGAUCGUGCAUGAGAUCGCUUAUCAAGGAAAUGUGAGCAUUUACACUUGAUAAGAUUUGAGUCAAUGCUCUACUAUAUAUACUGCACUAACAAUCAACUAUCAUAUCAAUUAUGGGCAUAUGGCACCCACUCUGUUGAACCCGUAGUCUCUUUAAACAACCUUCGACACUUAAGCUAUUAACAAUAUCAUCAAGAGAUAAAACUGUUGACACCAUUUUUUUGGAUUAAAAACGGGGUCGACUUGGAUUUUGAAAAUAAAAACGGGAGUUGCCACCAAUCCUUUUUGAUGAGGUGUGAUUGGGUCACCUCGUAAAAAUGGUUGUUUUUAAUAAACGGUUUAAUUUUAUUAAAACAACAAGUUUGGUCCACGAAAUUCAGAAAACGGGUUCGGGAGUUAAUUAUGCACGAGGAAGGAUUAGCACCCUCGAUACGCCCAAAAUUAGUACCUAGUUGAUUACUUAAUGUCUUAAUGUCAAAAAUUGAGGACUGGGAAAAAUUAAAAAUAUGAUCCUUGUAUUAAAUUUUUUUAAAAAAAAAAGAAGAUAUUCCACGUUAAUCGAGAAAGAAAGCAUCAUAUCCAGUAAGUUAGGACACAAUGUCUCGAGUUCUCAACACGUAAAAAUGCCAAAAUUUUACUCAUUUAAAAGACAUUUUAGCCAUAUCGGGUUUAAAAAUAAGAUCACGACCAGUAAGUUAGGACGCGAUUUUUCUUAAAAUCUCGAGNNNNNNNNNNNNNNNNNNNNNNNNNNNNNNNNNNNNNNNNNNNNNNNNNNNNNNNNNNNNNNNNNNNNNNNNNNNNNNNNNNNNNNNNNNNNNNNNNNNNNNNNNNNNNNNNNNNNNNNNNNNNNNNNNNNNNNNNNNNNNNNNNNNNNNNNNNNNNNNNNNNNNNNNNNNNNNNNNNNNNNNNNNNNNNNNNNNNNNNNNNNNNNNNNNNNNNNNNNNNNNNNNNNNNNNNNNNNNNNNNNNNNNNNNNNNNNNNNNNNNNNNNNNNNNNNNNNNNNNNNNNNNNNNNNNNNNNNNNNNNNNNNNNNNNNNNNNNNNNNNNNNNNNNNNNNNNNNNNNNNNNNNNNNNNNNNNNNNNNNNNNNNNNNNNNNNNNNNNNNNNNNNNNNNNNNNNNNNNNNNNNNNNNNNNNNNNNNNNNNNNNNNNNNNNNNNNNNNNNNNNNNNNNNNNNNNNNNNNNNNNNNNNNNNNNNNNNNNNNNNNNNNNNNNNNNNNNNNNNNNNNNNNNNNNNNNNNNNNNNNNNNNNNNNNNNNNNNNNNNNNNNNNNNNNNNNNNNNNNNNNNNNNNNNNNNNNNNNNNNNNNNNNNNNNNNNNNNNNNNNNNNNNNNNNNNNNNNNNNNNNNNNNNNNNNNNNNNNNNNNNNNNNNNNNNNNNNNNNNNNNNNNNNNNNNNNNNNNNNNNNNNNNNNNNNNNNNNNNNNNNNNNNNNNNNNNNNNNNNNNNNNNNNNNNNNNNNNNNNNNNNNNNNNNNNNNNNNNNNNNNNNNNNNNNNNNNNNNNNNNNNNNNNNNNNNNNNNNNNNNNNNNNNNNNNNNNNNNNNNNNNNNNNNNNNNNNNNNNNNNNNNNNNNNNNNNNNNNNNNNNNNNNNNNNNNNNNNNNNNNNNNNNNNNNNNNNNNNNNNNNNNNNNNNNNNNNNNNNNNNNNNNNNNNNNNNNNNNNNNNNNNNNNNNNNNNNNNNNNNNNNNNNNNNNNNNNNNNNNNNNNNNNNNNNNNNNNNNNNNNNNNNNNNNNNNNNNNNNNNNNNNNNNNNNNNNNNNNNNNNNNNNNNNNNNUAUAUAUAUAUAUAUAUAUAUAUACACUAUACAUAUAUAAACAAUUAUAUAAUAAUAAAACAUAUAUAUCUAGAAUUUACAUAAGUAAAUAAAAAUAAAAAUAACUAUAAUAAUAGUAAAGAUGAUAAUAGUAAUAAUAGAUAUAAUAAUAAUAACUAAAUAAUAAAAUUGCUAAAAUAUAGGCUAAAUCGAAAUAAAAACGAAAAUAUUGGGCGAAAUCGAAAUAAAAAAGGAUUAGAUUGUAAUAAGCGCCAAAAUAAGGGGGACCAAAAUAGAAAAUAAACCAAAGUCCCCAAAACGGGGCGCAGCAGAGGACUAAUAUAAAACAGAAAUAAAACUUCGGGGCUAAAUUGCAAAAAUGCAGAAAACCGCCUCGAAAGAGCCACAAAAUCGGAGGGACUUAUUGCGGAAAUACCCCAUUUAAAGAAAAUACGCGGAUCCUCCCCUUGGUCGGGUCACCGCACGGGUUAAAGAGGGCCUAAACGGCGCCGUUCUAUUUUUAAUAUAAAAAAUAAAAGAACCCAAAACCAUCAGAUUUUCAUUUUUUACAAAAAAAAAAAAAAAGAAAGGGAGGGAGAGAGAGAUGCUCUCCCUGGCCACGCAUCCGGCCUGGGCAUCCGGCGAGCCUCCGCCGUAGCGCCACUAUGUGUGGCGGCCGGAGGCUCAAAAUCGGACCUUUUUUGGUUCCCUUUGUAGCCCACUGCUUCUAGGCCAGGAAUAUGGAGCCGAAACUCGUCAAAAAGGAUACCAAAGACUCGAAAACGAGCCGACACCCUUCGACUUCUCCCCCUCCGGCGCGGCGCAGGAAGAAAGGUACUCCCUUUCCUUUUCUUUUUAAAUGUUUCUUUGUUUGCUGGUGUAGGGAGAAAAAUGAAAAAUAAAAAACGAAAAAAAAAAAGCAAAUCAGAAACAAGAGAAUCGCAAAUCACCUUCAAACUUUGUUUUUUUUUUAUUUCUGAAAGUGUUUCUUUUACAAGAUGAUAAAACAAAAAAAAGUCCAACCCCCAAAUAUUACAUAUUGUUGGCUUUUAUAGCCGAAUCUAUUGUUGCUGUUUUCUGCUUUUUGCUUCUUUGUUCCUUCUUUGUAGGUGACGGCGCAAGUGGCAUGGGAGCGGUGACGGUGACUGACGUGCGCCGGUGGCAGUGGCUAAGGGUAGGGUGCGGCGCCAGAAGACCAAGAGUCAAAGCAUGCGGCGCUAGAGGCGGCGCCUAGGGAUUCAGACUGAAAACCCUAGGCAGAUAUUUUUUAGGGAAAUUGGGCCUGGGCUAAUGGACUUCGGGUUUGUAUUGGGUCAGGAGGGUUUAGAAUUGGAUCAUUUGGGUUCGGCUUGUUGGUGAGGUUUUGGGUAGAUUUUAGAUGGAUUUAUAAUGGGCCGAUCGGGUUUGGGCUGGUUGGGUUAGUGAGUAGUAGGCCUAGGGCUAUUGGGUCAGCCUUGUAAUUGGGCUUAAGUACGUUGGGCUGAAAUGGGUUAGGUUAGGUCAAAAUGGGCCUGUACAAAAACCUCAACUAAAAAUAAUCCCGAACAUGUUAAGAAUUUACCGACUCUAAGUAAACGACAACUCAAAAACUUAUUUAAAAGGAGUCAUGAAAAUAUCUUUCAACCUACAUAUUAUAAAAAAGGAUAUCAACUCACUCAAGUAAUCCAAACUUAAAAUAAAAUAAACUCUAAACAAUCCCAACCCAAAAUAACUAUAAAAUCAAAAUUGGCAAAAUUCAAAAAUAAUUCAAACCAAAAACAACUUUAAAAAUUUGAAAUACAAACCCGAAUCGAAUUGCUGGGUAUUGUUCAUAUUAUCAUCCAAAACACAAUUCAACACUAAAAAUCAAUGGUUCAUAGAACACUAAAUUACUAUCCCAAUUAUACUUUUUUACAGCUACUUUUAAGCCUUACCCUGGUUCAUGACUCUGCAACUUUUUUCAGCUUAUCCACAGCAUUUGAGCAACAGGAAUUGCGUAAAUGGAACACAUGGUCUUCUCCUUCAGCCUCCAUCACCUCCACUUCACCAUCCCACCCACUGUUCUUCAACUUCUCGCAGUAGUACCAGCCCCUGUAUUUCAGUAUAUCGUUUUCAGCAACACAAAUCAGUACCCUUUUGCACACUAAGAACCUCCCAAAGCUUUGAUCAUCAAUGGGGUUGAUCAAUGGAUCAUCGGACCCACUCGUUGUAGGAGAGGCCAAUCGCCAGACCCCUUCGAAUUUUGCCCUUACGGCUGGGUUCUUAACCUCAUCGCCAACCGGUUCUUUGCCCCAAAAAUAUGGGUGGCUUAAAAUCAUACCGACGAGAUUCAUACCGUCGAGCUUCUCCUUGCUGGUUUUAAUGGCUAUGUGGUGUGCUAUGUUGGCACCAGCGCUAUCCCCCGAGAGAUAAACGUUUUCGAAGUCGGCGUAGCGGUUCAACCACUGUUCGGGACCGUUUCCGUCGUAAUGGGAAGCGACCCAUUUAAGGGCAGUCCAUGAAUCGUCGUAAGCGGCAGGGAUAGGGUGUUCGGGGGCUCUUCGGUAAUCGACGGAAACGGCGACGAUUUUAGAUUCGGAAACUAAGGCGUUUAAGUAAUUGUGAUACGUAGGAGAGAAGGCGGUUUCUAUGCAGAAGCGUCCGCCGUGGAAGUAGACGAGGAGAGGGAGUUUCUGGGUGGAGGUGACGACGGUGCCGGGGACGUAAAUCCUAACGCAUUGGCCGGUUUCUUGGCAGUAAACGACGUCUUUGGAUUCAACGUUGGUUUUGGGAUCGAGGCCUGGUGGAACAGUUUGAGUGCCUAAAAGCCUCUCGAUGCGACCGUCCUGGUAUACCCGAAUCAACGGAGGGAUGUCGAUGCGGAUUUCCGAUGCGGUGGGUUCCAUGGCGGUGAAAAAAGAAAGAAGAUAAGGGAAGCAAGCACGAAGAUGAGGCUUGUUACUUGCAGGAUAAUAUAGUGGUUAAUGGCUCUACUUGGAUUACCAUAUAAAGACAUUAUAAAAAGGUUUAAUAUACUACUUGGUACCUAAAUUUUGCUCUAAUGUUUAAUUUGGUACCUUGUUUUUUUCUCAAGACCUCUUGAGUUUGGCUUCAAUGUCUAAUUUGAUACUCAGACCAAACGGCAUCAUGUGGACCCAUAAAUAUUUGAUACAAUACUCUAAUAAAAAAUAUUUACUUAAUUGAGAAAAAAAAAAAGACACUAGCAUCAAAUUGAACAUUUGAAGCCAAAUUUAGGUGCUUAAUUGGGACAAAAAGAAACUCAAGUGUCAAAUUAAAAAAAAUAAGUAUCAAUUUGAACAUUGAAACCAAAUUCAAGUGUUAAAUUGAGAUAAAAAAAUUAGAUCUCACAUUGAACAUUGAGAUCAAACUUAGAUAUCAAAUGUUAUAUUAACCUUUUAGAAAAAGCUUAGAAUAUUACAAUACAUUAAUUAAAUGUAAUAUGAUUUUUUUUUCAAAAUUUAGAGUUGAUUUGAUUAAAAUUUAUUUAUAUUAUUAUUAGUUAAUUAUUAAUUUUCACCAGAUCAACCCUAAAACCCGAAUUAAAUAUUAAAAGGUUAACAUCAUUAUGAAAAGACAUAAUGACAAAUUUAGCCUUUGACGUUUACAUCUUUUAUCAAUUUAACCUUUAUUCUUUUUUCAAGCUAAAUUUGGUUCUCAACGUUUUUAAAAAAUGUUGAACUUGAUUAUCAAACUUUCAAUAAUAGUCAAAUUGUUGUUCUUUUAAUAGAAAUACUGAUUAAAACAUUAAAUUUGUUGACGGUGACAUUAAAUACAAAUAGUAUUGCCAGCGUAAAGCUAAUGUGGACUGUCACAUAAGUUCUCACACCAACACAGUUAAAAAAUAAUAAUAUUUUAACCAAUAUUUCUAUUGAAAAAAAUAAGUUAAUUCUUUUUAAAAGGACAAUAUCCAAAUUUAGUUAAAAAAAAGAAUAAUGACCAAAAUUAUAAAAAAGAAAAAAAGUGAACGUUAGAGAGAUAAAUUUAUCAUUAUAUCGUACUAAAAUGUAUAGGUUUUACCAAAUUCAGAUGCCAUAUUGAAACAAAACCCGUAAAAAUCACAUUAAAAAAAAAGUGUCAAACUCGAAUAUUAAAUAAUUUAAUAAUUAAGAAAAAAAUAUUACAUUUUCUUCUUUGAUUUUCAUAGUUUCUUAUUUUCCUUUUGUAUUUUUAACUGUGUAAAUAUUACGUCAUAAUAUUAGCAAUGGCCUAUAUUACAUAAACUAUGCAGAAUGUCAGCCUCAUAAAAGAAUCAAAGAUGCAUAUGCUUUGAGUCAUUUUCUUCCCUUCAAGGCUUGAAUGCUGGAACUUGAUCUACAGAAGAAUAAAGCGCACCAUAGAUCGUCCGAUCGAUUAUACUCCGAUAUGGAUCCUCCUCUCGCUUCUUCAACAAGUAAUCUAUACAUUGUUCAACUUCUGACUUUACCUGCAAAUACAAAUCAUUUGCAUCUUGUCUGUUCUUCGUCAAAUCCUCCCUUCCUUUCAACUUUAUCGGUUUUCCGAACAGAUAGUAAAACCGUCCUGGGAUCUUUGGUAACAUCCCUGGGAUAAAGAGCUGUUGGUUUCCGACCUCUCCAUCUGUUUCAUCCCUACAAAUCAGAGAAUGUAACUGCAAAUAAGCAAGCUUCUUGUUGUUGUUGUUCCUAAUGUAACUUAAUACACACUCAUACGGGAAACCGAAACCGAAAUAUACGGGUAAUGACCUUAUUCUUAUACCAUCCCGAAUGGAUUCUUUUAUUCUCUCGUUAAUCACGGGGAUUUUCAUCCAGUCGUUGUAGUCGAGAACCAACUGCAAUGGAAGAUUAAAGUAAGAACAACGAUAUUAAGCUGUUUUUCGAUCGGAUACGAAGUAAAACAUGAAGCAGAAAAACUUACUUCUGCUAUAUCAUCUUCUCCUACAGUUCCAAAAGGUACAAUUGUGGCCCCGAAUCGUGCUGCCAUUCGUACAAAUUCGGGUUGUUCUGGCCAAAAUAAUUUGUAUUCUUCACCCUGCAAUGAUAAAAGACACUAUUUCCUAAGAAUUUAUGUCGGAAAUAUUGGCACGAAAAAGCAAUAUGUCAUAAGAAAAUGGAAAGUAAACACGAAGUCCUCUUGAUAUUCUAGGUUCCGAUAUAGUGCCCGAACUAUGGACGGUCUGACCUUAUAAUGGAGGGCCUCGCGGGCGCCGCCGGGAUAAAGAAGAACAUGGGAUUUCGUAGACAGAGCUUUGAACAGAUAAUUUGCUGUUACGGGCAAUGCACCCAUAACUUUAACCCAAUCAGAGAAAGCAAAUUCAUUGGACGAACUUUGAAGCUUCCCCCAAAACAAUUCCGGAUGUGCAAUUCCGCGGACCAUAAUCUUCUUCUCUCGUAAGAACGCUUCAAUAAGGCAAGAAAGUUCGAGUCCCAUUAACAUAUGGUAACCAACUAACAACACCGGACCUUCAUUUGGAACCCCUGCAAGCCCCUGCACUAUUUUUCCGUCUUCCAUGGUCGAGAACAUUGCCGAACCGGAAGCAAAUCGUAUGUACCUGCAAUUUUGAGUGGCAGUAAGUAUGAGCCAAAAUUGGUGAAGUGAUGCAUACAAUACAUUGCUUGGUGGGAAUUACCCGGCUACUUCAUCGAAUGCAUAUUUGAAUUCCGACAUGCUGGGAGGCACAAAAUCCGCGAUAAAAUCGUGCUUCUUGGAGUGCCGGUAUUUGCAAGUACCUUUAAUGAUAGUCAGUAGAUUCAAGCUAUCUUCCUGUAGCACAGUAAAAACAUGCAUGAAUAUCCAAAACCAAUGAGAACCAUUUUUCGAUCGAAACAGGCCUAAGUGCCCCUCUGUCGAUUCAUUAACUACACAUAUGCUUAAGUACCAGUAAAAGGGUAUGUCCGUUGUCCUUGAAGCGACGGACUUUGCAAUUCGAUAAUGAAUUCAUGAGACGUUGAGCUUCAUCUCGACUAGGAAGCAUAUUAUCCUUGUCACUGAAAUGCAGAGACGUUUAAACAAUUCACCAAAAUACAGAAGAUUCAGAAACAAUAAGAGAUGGCAUGAUGGAGAGAAUAAAGACCUUGCAAGCACUAGUACUUCGGCUUUAAUAGCAUGGAGACGCGAAUUCGUAUAAGCAGAAGCUGUUUUGAGCAACUUCAGCUUCCAAACGAGAGUCUCCUUUGGUAUAAUAUUGGCCAUACCCUGAAAAGUCAAGGAAAACCAACAUUACAGGUUAACAGCCAACACGGAACUCGAACCAAACCAUGUUACUCGGACUUGGACAGCCAGCAAAUGCAAAUAACAAAACACAAUGCAUCAUAACCAACCGAGAACAGUUCUUACAGAAAGAAGAGGAAGCAAAGCAGUGAGGUUGCCGGACAACUGUUCGAUUUUCUGCAAAGGCGAAAGCCUACCUUCGAUACCAACAGUUGCCAUUUUCACUGGUUCACCUUUAAAAAACAGAAGUAGCAGUACUAGAACAAACUUACCUUUGUUAUAAACCGAAUAAAUAAAUAAAGCACACCAAUAGUAAAGACAUACCCAUUACAAGGCUCAAAAGAUAGGGGAUGGUAACAUGGAGUCCAUCCGGGAAAGCUUCCAAUAUCGGGAACAACGGUUGUAACUGUGACCUGCCAAAUGAUGUAGCUAAAAUGAAUGGUAAAGAAAAAGUAUCAGCCAAUUAUGGAAUUUCAGCAACCUGAAUUCGUAAAAUAAGUAAAGGUUUUAAAAAGGCACACCAGGGUUAGCUAAUAUCAAAACCAAGUCUAUGGUUGGAUUCCGAGCAGCAACAGCAAGCGCUAAACAUCCUCCAAACGAAUCGCCCACCAAAUAGAUUGGUGUAUUCGGACGGUAAGCGUGCUCGAGCCUUAUUGCUUCUUCAACAAGUUUCACCAGCUCUUCAAAAUGCAUAAAAAAUACCAUGAACAAUCAACUAUCGCAGUUAAAAGGAUUCAAAUUUAUAGAGAAAAGAAAGCAAAUAAGCAAUCAUAUGCUGUUCUCAAGGCAUGUAUCAGCAUUGAAACCUUCGAAUGGUGUUCGAUCUUGGACAGGAAUAUGAAGGCAUUGAACUUUAAAAACCCUGCAUUCAACAAAAAUCUUCAAUAUAAAUUGUUACUUUCAAGUUUCAAAUGAACAACUCUUACUAUAUAUAUAUAUAAACAUGACAAUAAAUCAGUAUACUAUGAGCUAAUCAGCAGGAAAAACUUUUAUGGCAUAUAUUGUUCGACUCUUCAUUUUUCUUGAAGCAUCCAAACGUGUUUGGUAUCUGUAUCAGGAGCAUAUAUAAAGAUGGGUGCGAGAUAUGACCCUCUAGAAACUUACCAUAUACAUGGAAAAACAUAGAAAAAAAUUGGACAUAUAUCGGACAUGCACGCCAAAUUCAGGCAACUAGUUUAUUGGGCACAUGGAAAGGAAAUAUAAAUGCCACCAAGGAAGCUAUAGAGCUGGUUUUCCUCUAGUGUACUUGAAGAAUCCAGACAAUGUGUUCGAUAUUGGGAACAUAUACAAACAUGGGUCGGGAUAUGACAGUCCAACAACUUUGUAUAUACACAGAAGCGUAGGAAUAAUUUGAAUAUAUCCAUGUUGGACAUAUAUCUGACACUCAACGCCAAAUUCAUUGGCCAUGUUGAAAGGAAAUAUAAAUGCCACCAAGAAGGCUAUAGAGCUGAUUUCCCUCUAGUGUGCUUGAAGCAUCCAGACAACGUGUUCGAUAUCGGGAACAGAUACAAACAUGGGUACAGGAUAUGACCCACCAAAAACUUACCAUAUACAUGGAAAAAAUAGAAAAAAAUCGAACAUAUCCAUGUUGGACAUAUAUCCAACACUUGCACCAAAUUCAAGCAACAUAGUUUAUUGGCCACAUGGAAAGGAAAUAUAAAUGCCGAUAAGGAGGCAAUAGAGCUGAUUUGCAUCUAGUGUACUUGAAGAAUCCAGACGACGUGUUCGAUAUCGGAAACAUAUACAAACAUGGGAACAGAAUAUGACCCUCCAAAAACUUACCAUAUACAUGAAAAUGCAUAGAGAAAACUGAAUAUCAACCAAAGUAAUCAGGUAAAUAGACACAAGUGAUAUAUAUAGGGAAGGAUAAUACAACUUACUUGCCAAGAGCUUUAUGGUGCAAAAUGAGGCCCAUACCAACACCAUCAAGCCCUGCAAUUACAUCAAGUAACAAAAUGAAGUUCCCAUUAUACACAGUCAAAACAUCAAACAAAAAGAGGGCAACAAAUUUACCAGGUAAAAACAGAAGGAGAGGAGAAUCAUUUAUAGGCUGACCACAUUCAACAGGACAAAACCACCUAGGUGGUCCACCAUCAGGCUUGAUCAUCUCCUCAGCUGCAAUAAGAUAAUCUUUCACAGUCUUUGUUCCAUAACCAUCAUCCCACAACACUUCAAGUUCUUCACAAACCCUUUUUUUCACCAUUUUUUGUUCAAUCCUAGGCUUUAACCUCCCAUUCCCACCAUUAAGAAAUGACCCUUUUUUCUCCUUCUCCUCCAUUACAGAACCAGCACCACCAUUCACUGAAUACACUGACAAAUUAUCAUCACCACUAACUAAUCUUUCAGCUCUAAAACGAGGCUUCAACUUUGGGUUAAUCCCAAAACAAGGCGAAACCCUGAAAGUAAGUAUAGCAGAUGCCAUUGAUUCCCCUCACACCCUUUGGCUAAACACAGAUAUUUGAACAACUUUAUACACAACUAGAAACAGUAUUCAAAAUCAUUAAUACCCCAUUUUCAAGAAUAAAAUAGACUGAAAAAAGAACCGUAAAUAAACCACAAGUAGAGUACAAGGAUGAAAUUUGGUGUGAACCCAGAUUAGUGAAACAAGGCUCACAGCUUCUCAAAAACACAAUACUAUAUUUCUAGAAUUUUUUGUGAAGAUCAAGCAAUGAAACAAAUACUGAAAUUGACAGUGUUUUAAUGGCAAAUAAUAAUUUAAAACCAACUCAGAAGAAAAAGAGAAAAAAGGGAAUUUAGUUUUGGAUUUUAUGGAUGUGUACUUUCCAUGCUUGUGGCUGUAGAGUAGCCAACGACCCUAUGAAUUUUUUUUUAACUGGUAAUAAUUCUUACUGAAUUUGGCGGUUGUUUUUAGGUUAAUUUUUGUUAUUAGUCCUUGUAUUUUUAAAAGUUUUGUUUUUAAUCCUUAUACUUUAAUUUGUUCGUUUUCAGUCUUGUACUUUUCGAAUUUUAAAAUCUCAAUCAUCAUCAAAUGAUAACUGUUAAAUUAAUUGAAUUAAGCUCUGCUAUUUUCAAAAUAAAUAUAUUAUCAUAUGUAAUGUAAUGUUAGUUUAUUAUUUCCACAUAUUACUUACUAAAAAUAUAAUUAAUAGGUUAAUGAUGGUCAUUUAUUUCAAGACUGGAAUUUUAAAUUUUGAAAAGUAUAGGAAUUUAGAAUGAUUUAAUUGGAGAAAUUGAACAAAUCUACAAUUAUACAUACAGUACAAUACUAAUAUUCAAAUUUAACCAAAUCGAUUCAAAUGUUACUGUUCGGGUUGGAACUAAAAUUUCAAAAAUUAAAAAGUAGAAGGACUAAAUCGACCAACUCAAAAAAUAAAGUAACUCAAUUUUAUCAAGUUAAAGUAUAGAGACUAAAUCCACAACAUAAAACGCAGGACUAAUAACAAAUUUUAACCAUAUUUUUAAGGGUUAAAUUUUCAUAACUGAGAUAUACAUGUAAAAGAGACGGCAGGUAUUUAUUUUUAAUUUAAUAUUUUAGAUUAUUUUUCUUUUAUUAAAAUUUAAAUUUUAGAUAAAAUAACACAUUUUUUAAGGUUUACAUAGUAUGUAUUAUAUAUAAAUUUUAUAUAGGGUAAAUUACAAAAGUAGUCACUUUUGUUUGACUCAGAUUACAUUUUAGUCACUUAUGUUUGAAAUGUUACGUUUUAGUCACUUGCGUUAACGUUUUGUUACGAAGUGGUCACUCUACCGUUAAACUCCGUUACCUCCUUAAUGACAGUCCUAAGUGGCAGUCCAAAUGGGUUUCAAAUGCCAACUUGGGUGUCUAGUUACUGGAUGAAAAUAAGUUUUUAAUUAAAUAAAUUUAAUUUGGACUGUCACGUGCAACAUCCAAGUUAGCAUUUAAAGCCCAUUUGGACUGUCACAUAAGACCGUCGUUAGGGAGGUAACGGAGCUUGACGGUAGAAUGACUACUUUGUAACAAAACAAUAACAUAAGUGACUAAAACGUAACAUUUCAAAUAUAAGUGAUUAAAAUAUAAUCUGAGACAAACAAAAGUGACUAUUUUUGUAGUUUACCCUUUUAUGUAAUAUAAAUUACAUAGUAUAUAAAAUAAAAAUAUAUUAUAAAAUAUAAAAUGGGUAGGGUUAAGCUCUGAUUUUAAACAUUGAAAUUCAAAUUCAAAUUAUAUUUUAAAUUAUCUUAUUUCUUUCUAAACUCAUUAUUCGAGUCUUAUACUUUUAUCCACACCUUCUCAUAUUUCAAGCCGACUUCCGAUUUGGAAAAAUAAUUCACCCCAUGAACAAGCUUAAUUGAUGGUUAGGAUUGUCCAUAAAUAGAAUUAAGCCAAAUCGAAUCUAGACACAAAUUUACCUAUGCUUGAAUUGACACAAGUCUAUUUUAUUGAGUAAAGCAAGCUGUCCGACUUAUGGACAGGUCUAGUAUUGUUUGUGGCGUUCGAUCACUCGACAAUUGCAGUUGCCAGUGGCAAUAUCAGACAGUACGUGGCAGAUUUUCAGUGACGUAGCCCAGAGUCUACCGUUGAAGCAACCACUUAUUGUGUGAUCAUAAGUGAUUUGAAGCAAAUAUCUUCUGGAAAAAGUUCCAUUUAAUUAUAAAAUGAUCGCGACAGCAUGUGAAAAAUAAUAUUCUGAAACAAAAAAAAAGAAGAGAGAGAGUAAAUUAUCCUAAAAGUUAUUAAAUUAUUAAAAAAUUUAUGUUUUUGUUAUAUAAUUUUAAAAAGUUAUAAAAUAGUCACUAAAUUAUUCAAAAAAAAUUAUUUAAGUCAUUGAGUUGUUAAUUUUUUUUUUUAAUUUGGAAUGUGGGUUUUAAGCGACGACUCGACAAUUGGUAUAGUGGAUUAAUACCCAUCGAUGAGUAGAACAUAUCUUAGAUCCAAGCCUAUCUGACAGUCAACAUCAAAGAUCAACAAAAAGAUCUAUUUAGAUUUUGGUUCGUGGAUUUGUGACGUUUAAAGUUAUUUCGUAAAAGAAAAUGAACUAUAGAGGAGAAUAAGAAUGGAAGCUUUCGAUUGAUGCAGGUGAUGCAAAUAACAAUGGACAUAUAACAACAAUUUUAGCAGACCAGUGGCUUAAAUGAAAUCUUUUGAAUAGUUCAAAAAUCGUUUUAUAACUUUUUGAAGUUAAGUGAUCAAAAUGUAUAUUUAUUAAUAACUUAGUGAACUUGGGUGUAAUUUGUCACAAUUGCUGUUGACUUGUUAGUGAAAAAAACGCAAAUAUAAAAUGUUUUUUUCAAAUAUAUCACGUUAUUUAUAUUUAGGUCUAUUUAUGAUUUUAGUCCCUCUAUUAAAAUUUAAGAUUUAAUCCCUCCACUUAAUUUGAUCAUUUACUUUCAUAGUACAAAUACCAAAAUUAAAAUUUGACCAUUAUUAUACAAUAUGAAAAAAAGCAAAGAAUUUUGACAUAUUGCUGGCAUCUACCCCUUAAUUUCAUUGAAGUCACUGGGAUAUUAAAAUCAUUGUUGUCACCGUCUGCAUCAAUCAAAAGCUCUCAUUUCCAUUCUCUUCUACAGUUCGGUUUUAUUUUCAUGAAACAACUUUAAACCUCACGAAUCUACAAACAAAAUCUAAACAGCUUUCUUCUCUAAUCUCCGAUACUGACUAUUAGAUUGACUUGGAUCAAAGGUAUGUUUUUUCUACUCGUCAAUGUGUGCUAAUUAGACCUGAUCAUAGGUCGGGUCAAUGCAAAAUUUUAGGCCCAUUUUCUAGGCCCGGGCCCAACCAAAAAAAUGUGCCUAAAAUUUUGCCCAAGUCUGACCCAGAUAAAAAUGCAACUCGAGCCUAGAUUGACCCGAACCGCCCGUAUUAAAUUUUUAUAUUUUUUAUAUAAAAACAAUUUUAAAAAAUAUAAUACAUCAAAUACACUAAAAAUAUUAAAAUAAAUAUUUCUCAAUAAUUGAAAAUACAUUAAAAAUUAUACUUAAAUAACACUAAGAUAAUUGUUACUUAGCAAGCAAAUACCUUCAAAAUAGUAGCAAAAUUAAUAAUAAAACAAGAGUUAUGCAAUAUCUAAACAAUAACAACAAAAUAGUAACAAUGUAAUAGUAAAAUGGCAGCCAAGAUAGCAACAAAACAGUAGCAAAUAGCAAAAAAAAAAAAAUUAGGCAGAUUCGAGCCGGCCUCGAGCCAAAAAAUUCUUACCUGAUGUCCGAUCUGUUUAGAAAAUGGGCCUUAUUUUUUUUGUCCAAGCCCAUUUUCCCCCUACAUUUUUGCCUAAGCACUCCCACUUUAAUACUUGGCCGAGUGGCCUCACCUAUGAUCAGGUUUAAUACUAAUCCACCAUAACGAUCAUUAAAUCGUCACUUGGAGUUCGCUAGCUUAAAUUAAAAAGAACUUAAUAGCCCAUUGAACUAAAUAAAAAACUUUCGAAUAGUUUAAUGGAUUAAAUAAAAGCUUUCGAAUUUUAUAAUAAUCAUUUUAUAACUUUUUAAAAUUAAUUGACCAAAAAUAAAUUUAUUAAUAGUUUAUUAAUUUUGGGCGUGAUUUACCUUUUUAAAAUUGGAGAAGAAAACCGUCACAUAAGAUGACGGAUUGUUCACGUGAUUCAUACCAUGCUUGACACGUGGUUAGAGAGCUCUUUACUUUGAUUGAAAUGUACUAUAGAUUCCUAUACUCUUCACAAAUUUAAAAUUUAGAUCUAAUUAUUAAGCAGUUAAUUUUUUAUUAAAUUUAUUGAUUUAACAUUUUAAAAUAAAUAAAAUACUCACUUAGUAGCAAUGUACCUAAAAAAAUGACGUUGUAAUGAACUUAAAUUUAACAAAUAAUAUUAAUAAUGUUAACAAUUGAAUCUAAAAUUUAAAAUCUGAAAAGUAAAGAUACUAAUUUUUUAAAAAUACAAAUAUAAGAACUAAAUUAUAAAUUUACGAAAAAUAUAUAGACUUACCACAUUUUCCUUUUUUUUUUUAGUUAUUGGGAGGACCACAUGUGGCAGUGACAGCAAAGAAAAGUUGAAAUUAUGCUUAUGUAUGCCUAUGGCUAGAGAGGGCUCUUUUUCAUUUGGCGAUGUAUAUGAAUUUCGUAAUUUUUUCAAUUUCAUCCUUUAAAUUUUCGUUUCAUUUUGUUAAACUAAACAUACCAUUAAAUUCAAAAAAUUUAGGCAAAAUGAGGCCAAACUAGAGGUACUAAAGGUAUUCCCCAUUGACCCCUCCAGUUUGAUUAAUUAGGCCAGCUUUAGGCAGGUUUGAAUCAUUUGAACUCAUCGGAUCAAGCUCGGGUCUAAUUUUUUUUAAGAAAUCGAGUCUUGACUCGUCUCAUCAGCACUUCUAAAAUAAAUUAAAUAUUUUAACAUUUGGGUUAAUGCAUUGUUUUGGAUUUGAACUUGGUAACUAUUCUCACAUCAGACUUAAACUUUAUUUUUUUUGUCUAAGUUAAUGCCUCACCACAUUGGGACCUCAACUUUUUUUUGUUCAAAUUAGCCCCUAAUAUUGUGAUAUAUCCUUAAAAAGAGUCGGGGAACAAAAGUCAAGUCACAAUGCGAGAAUAAUUACUUAAUUCAAAUCUCAAUGUCGAAACAAUUGCGAAGUUCAAAGAUUAAAUUGGACAAAAAAAAUUCAAAUCUCUCUAUAGAAAAAAAAUUUCAGGUUCAAUUCCUAAAAAGUGCAUUACCCCUUAAACAUGUUGCUCUAAAAUAGACAAAACUCGAAAAACCUAUCUAUUCCAUAUAAUAUCUAAUUAGAAAAUAUGGACUAAAUCUAUAUUUAUAUGCAUGGUACAAUACUGGUAAUUGAAUUUAAUCAAAUGGGUUUAAUUGCUACUAUUUGGUUAGGACUAAAAUUUUAAAAUUUGAAAAGUAGAAUGACUAAAAUUGAUCAAAUUAAAGUAAUGGACCAAAUCCACAACUUUCACAAGUAUAAAGACUAAUAGCAGGAUUUAGCCAAUAAUUAAAACACACAAAAAAGAAAUCCUGCUAAUGGCGCUUUUAUUUCAACAAUGCAGGCUCUAAAAGUUGGCCAUUUUACAAUUUGAUCCUUGGGGAAUUUCAAGUUUCAAAGCUUCAAAGAUUCAGAAAUGAAGAAACUCGAUCCAUCAACUCAGCAGCUUUCUCACAAUCUGGUUUAAACAAAUAAAAAACAUGCACUUCCCCUUCAAUCUCCACCAUUUCUAUAACCCCAUUCCACCCACUUUUCUUCACCGUUUCAUAGUAACUCACACCCCUUUCUCUUAGAAAAUCCUUCUCUGCAACACAGAUCAGUAUCCUUUUGCAGACCAGACCAGCAGCCAGCUCUUUACUGGCGAUACAAGCCGGGUUCAACCUCGGGUCAUUGGGACCUUUGCUUGAAGGGAAAAUGAACGAUAUAAGUUCAUCAGGCUCGUCGUUCAUGAAAAACGGGUUCAUCAAAAGCAACCCGGAGAAUUUGAGUCGGAUUUGGUCGUCUCCGGCGGAUUUCAUUAUCAUGUUGUGAGCGAUGUUGGCUCCGGCGCUGUCGCCCGCUAAGAACACUUUAUCGAAGUCGGCGUUUUCGUUGAGCCAUGGCUCGGGACCGUUCCUUUCAAUGUGGGAAGCGAUCCAGUUGAUUGCAUCCCAAGCGUCGUCGUACGCGGCGGGGAGGUUGUGCUCCGGAGCUUUCCUGUACUGUACGGAAACGGCUAUUACGUUGGCUUUGGCGACGAGGGAAGUGAGGUAGUUGUGGUAAGUGGGGGAGAAAGGGGACUCGAUGCAAAACGCGCCGCCGUGGAUGUAGAUGAGGAGCGGGAGUUUGGCGGUGGGGUCUGAGGUUUUGGGGAGGAAAAUACGAGCUGACGACAGGGGAGGCACCAGUGCGUCUUUAGACCGAACGCCGGUUUUGGGAUCGUCGGACGGUGGGACCGUUACAAUUUGCCGGAGUCUCUCGGCGCGUCCGUCUUUGUAAAGUUGGAACAUGGGAUAUGAAGGGAAGAAUACACGGGCAAUUUCUGGGUUACUGCUUGAAGCCAUUUUAGAAGAAGAUACUAAAUUAACCUCUCAAAAUUAAAGAAAAAGACUCGUAUAUAUAUAUAUAUAUAUAUAGAUAUGCAUACACAUACUCUCUCUUUUUUUCAUUUAUUUCUAUUUACCUAACAAAAAAACCUAUCCCACCAAACAUCUUUAAAACUAUUAUUCAAUUUAUGGAUUGUGUCUUAACUUGAUUAGUAUUGAAAUUGACGUCAACUUAAAAAAAUAUAAAUUCAAGUACAUUAAAAUAUAUUAUCCUCUGAUUUAUAAAUUGAAAAGUAAUUAUGAUUAUUCUAAGCAUUAAAUUAUCGGUCCAAUCAGAAUUUUUAAUAUGUCGUAUGUUUUAGGUAAAUCCUUAAUGCCAUAGUUAUUGGCUCAACUAACCAAGAAACAAUAUUAAUAUGACAAUGAUGUCAUGGCAGGGAAGGGAUUAUCUGGGUUUGGACUAGAAAUUUGAUGUCAAUAAAGAGAUAAGCAAUGUAAGUCAUUUACCACUAUAACAAUGAUUAGUGUUUUAAUAAUUGGAUUAAUAAUUAAAUUGAUUAAACCACCAACUUUCAAUUCGACGGUCAAUUCAAUAAUAAUUAAAUAUAUAAUUUUCAAAUUUUUAUUUAUUCUGAACUAUUCACUGAAAGAUUAAUUUAAAUUUUUUUAUUUAAAUUAAUAUAUCAAUUAAUUUUUAAUCUAAUCGAUCAGUCCAAUUCAAUUUACAUAAUAAAAUAAUAUCAAUAUACAUUUAUUUUAUUUUAUUUUGUAAUUUUCUUUCAUCAUACCAACUAUAAACCUAAUUUGGUUGGAAUAAUUUUUAAAGAUUUUGGAAAAAGAAAAUUAAAGAAGUCUUUGAUUAGUUGUAGCUAGGCGUAGGGAGUCAAACUUUUGGUGCUUGUUAUUUUGUUUUGAUGAACAAAUACAUGGGUCGAUGUAAAAUUUUAGUUCUAUUUUUUAGGUUUGGAUCUAAUUUGGCUUGAAAAGGUGCUUAAAAUUCUACCUAAGUUCGUCCCAGAUUAAAAAUACUAAGUCUGAGCUCGACUUGAUCAGACCGUAUUAAUUUUUUAUAGAUUAUUUUUUAUACAAAAACAGAUUUAGAAAAUAUAAAACAUCAAAUGCACUAAAAAUAUUAAAAUAAAUGUUUUCUAACAAAUUAAAAAUAAAUUAAAAAAAGUCUUUAUACUUAAAUAACAUUAAGAUAGUUGUAACUUAACAAGCAAACGCCUCUAGAAUAGUAACAAAAUUAACAAUAAAAUAAGAGGUAUAUAAAAUACAAAUGAAUAACAAUAAAAUAGUAGCAAUAUAAUAACGAAAUAAUAAUAAAAUAGUAAUAAAACAGCUAAUUCAGAUUGGAUCGGGCCCAAAUAAAAAAAAAUCCUACUCAAAAUUCAACUUAUUUAAAGAACGAACACUAUUUUUUAUCCAAACUUAUUUUUAAAAAUUAUAUUUUGACUCAUUUUUCAAACUAGGCUUAGUAAUUGGUAGACCUGUCCAUGGGCCGGGCGGCCCGGCCCGGCCCGACGGCCCGCCCGAAAUAUGGGAGGGUUCGGGUAAAAAUAUCUUUUUUAUUUUUAUUUUUUAAUUUUAAAAUACUUUAAAAAUAUUUUUUUAUUUUAAAAUUUUUUUGUGUUUAUUAAAAAUCAGGCCGGUCUGGACCGGGCUUGGGCUUAUUAUUUUUUCCCGGGCCAGGCCUAGGUAAAAUUUUAGGCCCAUAUUUCGGGCCGGGCCUAAGAGUCGGGCCAAAAUUUUUUCUUGGGCCCGGCCCGGCCCAUGGACAGGUCUAGUAAUUGGUGUUUGAUUCCAUUAUAUUUGCAUGCAUUUAUGACGAAUAAGUACCAUCUAUCGUGGCAAAUUAAUAGCCAAAGGCACUCCACUUGUCUCAUUCGAUAUUCGUCCCUCAUUCGGACCUAUGUGCAUGCAUGUCAUCACUUCAUUCUUUAAAAAAAAAAUUAUAAUCUCUUUAUAUUUUUCUUUUAUCUUUUCAAAUAUUUUAUAUAAAUUCUUUAAAAAAUUCUUUAAAAAAUUCAUGUCAUAAAAUAAUUCAAUCUUAAAGUAUCACAUCAUCGCUUUUAAACAAAACCCAAGUUCAAAGAUUAAAGUGGAAAAAGUUAUCAUGUUUCGAGACUAAUAUGGACAAAAAAAUAUUCUAAGACCAAAAAUAAUUACCAAAUUCAAGUACUAAAUGUUGUUUUAUAUUUUUCUAUUUUUACAAAUAAAAUAUAUUCUAGCCCAAACAGUUUUAAAAAUUAACACUUGAUUUCUUAGUAUUUGGAUUUGUUUUCUAUUUUUUAGAUUAUAAAAUAAUAAUUAAAUUUUAGUUUUGGUGUAUGUUAAAAUUUAGAAAUUAAUCUAUACAAUUUCUUUUACAUAGUUUGGUAAUCCAUUUUUAUAAUUUCUUUAGUUAGUAAAAAUAGUUAUUAGUGUUAACUAAUUCGGUUGAAAUGUUGUAGUCAUUUCUUUAAGAACAUUAUUUCAAAAAAAAAAAUUAUGAAAUUAUGAAAAUUUUCAUAUUAGCAUUUUUUUUAAUUUCAAAUGUCACGCCAGUGAAUUUGUAACAGCUCGAUUUUGGGUCUAGAUGGAACAGUGGUUUUUGGACGAUAAAUCCGACGAGGAAAAAAAAUGUAAUGGCCUGAAUUUUCAGAGGUGUCGGAACGAUGAUUCGAGAUCACUAAAUUCGACAAAUGAGUAGAAAAUAUUAUUAAUUUAGUGAGUAUAAGUUAAAUGUGAAGUUAGGAAAAUUUUUGAAAUAGUGAAUAGUGCACUAGAAAUAAAUAUUAAAAUAAUUAGAAUAAAAAAACAGGGUAUCGAGACCUCAGAGAUUUUAAAUUGAGCCAUAAGUAUUUUUAUAAAUAUUUAUGGAGUGUUAAAAAGUUAGUAUUAAAGUUUCGUUAAGAAAUUUUAAAGUUUCGAUAAUUAAUUGAACAAAAAGGACUAAAUUGUAACAAAUGCAAAAUUAUGGGAAAUGAUUAAAUAGCUUAAAUGAUAAAAGGAAGAGGGCUUCAAAGGCAAAUAGACCCAAUGUCUAUUUGGGCUGGACGGCAAAGGCAUGAAAAUCAGCAACAAAGUAAGGAGAAUUAAGGGCAAAAUUGGAAUAUUACAAAAUUUACUUAAUAAAGUUAGGACCAAAGUGAAAUUAUCUAGAUUUCUCUUUAUUUUUCUGCAUUCUCAUCAGCAAAAACACCAUAGAAGGGUUUCCUUAAGCUGGUUAUUCCUAUUUUUACUGCAGGUAAGUUCAAUUCUUGAUUAUUUCUUGAAAUUUUGGUGUUUUUGUGACUUUUACAACUAGGCCCACUUGUUGAAUUCAUUAGUUUUUGAUUUUAUGAAAGAAGUUGAAAGUUGCUAUGAAUAUGUGCUGGAAGUAUAUGAUGAUUUAGCAUGGAAUUAGAGCUUUAAAUUGUUCAUAUGCUGAUUUUAUUGAAAGAAUUGAAUAGAAAGUGAAUGUUUGGAACCUAAUAGUAAGUUUGAAGAUAGAGUUAUAUGUGAAAAUUCUGAAUUUCAAUAGUUGUGAAACAACUUAUAAUGUCUAGGUGAAGUAUUAAUUGAGAAAAUUAGAUUAAUUUAGGGGUUAAUUGAGAAAGGACCGAAUUGUAUAAACUGUGAAAUUUGGGGCAAAAUGGAAAUCAACAUUUUGCAUUAAAGCAGUUUUGGACAGCAGCAGUAGUAUAACUUUGAAAAAUCACCAAAAAUUAUGCGAAUUGAAUUAGAGGGUGAAUAAAAUAUGAAAUUAAAGCUUACUGAGUCUAGUUUCUCAUAGAAGAAACGGUGUAAGCAAUGGAAUUGUAAAUCAUGAGAUAUAAUAAAUUUUGUGAGACAAUGUUAGAAUGAUUUGGGGUUCCCCUAUUCUGACUUUGGAAAAUCAUAAAAAAUUUAAUAAAAAUAAUUAUGAGUUAUAAUUUAUAUGUUUAGAAUCCUUAAUGAGUCUAUUUUCAAAGGAAAUAAACAGAAACAUCAUCCAAAUUCUGUACAAUUAGAUAAUUCAUUUUUAGUGAAGAGUGGUCGGAACUGUCAGACAUCGAAAUAGGGGAAACUUUAAAGAAUAAACUGUACUAUUUGGAUAAACCAAAAAUUCUGAAAAUUUUAUGGUAAGAAGGUAUGUAAGUCUAGUUUCAGGGAAAAUUAACGGAUCUUAAUUUGGAGCUCUGUAUCUCCAGAUAAAAAUAAUUUAGUGACUCUGACUCGGAUAAACAGCUUUGAAUAUACAUGUGAGUGAAUAGUGAAAUUAUAGCUAAUGUUGUUUAAGUGUGUUAUACACAUUAAGGAUGUGGAAUGGAGAGGAGGAGGAGGAAAAUUGGGAAAUAUAUGAAUGAUUUGUGUAUAAUUGGUCAUAUGUUUGAUUAUAAUUGAUAAACGAUGAAAUAGAAAUGAUGCUUAUAUUUGUGCAUUAUUGGUCAUUGUUUAAGCUCAUGUGUGAAAAUAAAGUUUCAUAGUAUGUGUGUAUGGUAUAUUCGUUAUAUGAUUUGGCAUGAAAUAAUGUCAUGAAUGGUUUAUGAAUUAACACAUGUUGGUAAGCCUGAUACAUGAAUAAAUGUUGUGCUCAUCCAUGCUUAUAAUGCUUAUGUUAUAUGUGUAUUUGGCUAACAUAUUUGGUGUAUAUGCUUAGGCUUUGGCCAAGUAGUGGCUAGAUUAUGCCAAGUUAAAUUUAUAAGUUAUGCAUUGAAAUGGUUUAUCGUGUGGUUAGUUCCAAAAAGAGUUAUAUUUAAAUACACUAGCUUGCAAUUAUGGUUGAAUGAUAUGUUUAUAUCUUGUGUGAUGUGCAUAGAAACAAGUGUGGAAAGAUAAUGAAAUAGUAAAUUCAUAUGGCUGGAAUUUAAUGGUUAAAUGUUAAUUUCAUGAAUUAUAUAAUGUAUGAUGAAAUGUAUUUAGUGUUGAAAUGAGAGUAAAAUAAAAAUGCGAAAAUCGAACAAAUGAUCAAAUUAAGCGGAACGCCGGAUUUGAGUACUUCUGAUCAAGAGAUAAAGUGAUAAGUGGUAGCUUUAGCUACAUUUAUCUGAUCAAGUGACAAAGUGAUAAGUGUUAACUUUAGCUACACUUAUCUGAUCAAGUGACAAAGUGAUAAGUGGUAGCCUUAGCUACACUUAUCUAAUCAAGUGACAAAGUGAUAAGUGGUAGCCUUAGCUACACUUAUUUGAUCAGGGACAAGUGAUAAGUGAUCAUACGUAAGACUAUAGUUAUACUAUGAAAAAGUCAAAGUGAAGUACUCAAUUUUCCGUAACCGUUCCCUAAUUUAAUUAAGGAUGGUAAGUGACAAAUGGGCUCAAAUGAAUUAAAGUAAAUGGAUAAGUGGUAGUGUAUUUAUACCAGGAGGAUGUUGUUAUUUAAGCUAAAGUGAUAUUUUCAUUGCAAAAUUGAGAAUUUCAUAAAUGUGUUAUUGAAUGGUAUAAUCGAUAAACGUUGAGUUAAAUGGUAAAUACGUAUUAGUGUUGAACUUAAUGUCAUUGAAUUGUAUGUGAAUUAAAUGGAAAUUGCUAGUGAAUUGAUUUAAAUUGUGAGCAUGAGAAGUUGCGAAUUGAAUGAAAUGGAAAUGAAACAUUGAAUUGCAUGAGUAUGUAUCGGGUCUCGUAGGCCCUAAUUAUUAUGAUUAUAAUAUUUUGAGGAUAUAUUGUGAAAAGUUAUAAAAGCAUGUUAAUUAUUUUGAAAGUUUUAAUUUAGAUGAAAUUUUAUAACUCGGUUAAAUACGUUUACAAGUGUAUGUGUUUUGGUAAUGCCUCGUACCCUAUUCCGGUGUUGGAUACGGGUAAGGGGUGUUACAAAAUUUAACAGAUAAAAUUUAACAGUGAUAAAAUUUGACUUUAAUUUUCAAAUCUCGAAAAAAAAAAAAUUUAGAUGUACGAAGUGUAUAGAGACUUUAAAAAUAUUUUUACUUUUAAAUUUUUACUCUAUAAUUUUACCCAAACAAAUAAUUAGCCUACCACGAAAUGUGAAUUAGAAACUAUACUAGUACGUAUAAAGUGAAUACCUUAAGGGCUUCUCUUUAUUAAACACGUGACUCAUCCAACUCCUUUCUUUUCUUUUUUUUCUUUUUGGUUAAAUCAUUAUUUGGGGUCUAAACUUGACAACAAUUCUCACAUCAGGGCUUAAAAUUUGUUUUGGUUCAAGUUAGACCAUGAACUUGGUAUUUGUUGGGGCCUAAACUAAGCAAUUACUCCGACAUUGGAGCUUAAACUUUUUUUAUUCAAGUUAGUUCUUAAAUUUGACAAUUGUUCCCAUAUUUGAGCAUAAACUUGGCAAUUGUUUCCACAUUUGGGCUGGGAUUUUAGGGUUUUCAAGUAACUAUCUAGGCCUAACUUGGACUAAAAAAGCUCAAGCCUCAAUGUGAGCACAAUUGCUAAGUUCAAGGACUAGGUUAGAUAAAAAAAGUUUAGGCCCUAAUGUAGAAACAAUUGUUAAGUUCAUGGACUAACUUGGAUAAAAAAAAGUUCAAGUUCCAAUAUGGAAAUAAUUACCAAGUUUAGACCCAAAAAGUGAUUUAACCCUUUUUUAAUUAUUAUACUUUAAUUGUCUAAUUUCAGCUUUGAUUCAUUUACUAUGCUCACAUUUGGAAUUUAAUUUUUAUAUUUUAGUUUUACAUAAUUUGGUCAUAUACUUUUACAAUGAAAUUAGUAGUCAACCCAAACAAUUAACAUUCUUAAUUGUUUCAAUUAAAAUGAUAGACGUUGUUUUUUCUUAAAACUCCUAACAGACACACACAAUCUAUUUUGACAUGAUAAGUUGGAAUGUGUAUUUUUAAGAAGAAAUUUGCCUCAACAUUUUAAUCGGUACAAUUAAGGGUGUCAACUAUAAAAGUACGUAAACCAAACCAUGUCAGAUUAAAGACCAUGUCAAAUUAAAGUAUAGAUAUUAAACCUUAAAUUUAAACAUAGUAGAGGACCAUAACCAUAAUUUGACCAAAAACAAUAAAUGCCUAACAUGGUCCUUUAUCAUUUGAUUUAAUAAAUUUUUUAAUAAUUUUAAAAUAUUAUUUUUAAUUAAAUUGAUUCAAAUUAUUUGUUCAUCUAUAACAAACAAGUUGAGAGCUAGAGAUAAGAAACUAAUGAAGGGAGAAGGAGGAGAAGAAAGAGAAGGAGAAAGCUAAGGUUUUCAAGGGUGAGGGAGCCAAUCCUUGGUUCCUCGUGCACUCAGGCUUAUAUAAAAGGGUCACCCAUUGUCUUGUAGUGCAACAUAGUUGACCAUGUAGUGUCUUACAAGGUUGUGUGCACUUGGCUAGAUGAUAGGGUUGUUACAGGUCAGUUGUCGUCAUAUAGUGUACUAUGUGUCUUCCUCUAACAUUUUCAUGCCUGAAUCUGUACAAGGUUGUCAUGCCUCAGUGGUACCUAUGGAGGGUGCACAACAAGUAGUCCCCAUGGAAGGUGCGUAACGGACUAUUUCUAAGCUGAUUUGGACAAAAUGCAUAGGAAGUCACCUAUGGAUCAUCCUAAGCGAAGGGUCACUACGAAUAGGCCCUAGCAGAGGGUUGGAAGGGAUUGCCUCUAGCAGGUCGUCUACAAGUUGCCUCAUGUAUUGCCAUGUGUCAUGCUAUAUAUGGGGGUAUAACAACGUCAUAUUUGAAGUAAUAUUUAAUGUUAAAACUAAUAAAUAUGUUAGACAAAAGACUUGAAUGAUAUAAUACUAACACUUCAAAAAUUUAAUUAAAACAUUUUAAAUAUAGAAAUUUUAUUAAAAUUUAUCUCAUAAUUUGAGAAUGUUUUAAACAAUCAACAAACUGUUUAUUCAUCAAGGGAUGAAAAAACAAACAAAAAAAAGUUUCACCAUUUUUUUGACUUUACUUCUUCAUUUUAUUUUUUUAUAACAUUUAGAUACAUGAUAAUGUAUCCUUAGAACAUAAUUUGUCUUCUAUCAGAGAAAAAACACCAACUACUUACCGUAAAUAUAGUUAAUUUCGCAUCAAUUAAAAACUCCAGCUUGUACCAAUCACAUCAGUCCCUUCCUCCUUAUUCUGAUUGCAUCAAACAGAACACUGUACAUCGAUUGGUGCAUAGAUAAUGUUAAAAUAUAUAAUUACUAAAAUCAACUUUAAAUUUCAAAUUCUUAAUAGAUUUAGGGUGAGUUUGGAUGGGCGGUGCAUUUAUUUGCGGUUAGCGGUGGUGGUGAGAUUAGAUACUGUAGCGAUAAUGUAGCGUGAGAUAAAAAGUAAGCUAAACGCACUGCACCGCACCCAAUCGUCGAUCCAAAUCCACCCUUAAACUUUAAACUUUAAAUAAAAUAUUAAAAAAAAGAGAAACUUAUACAACAAAUAAAGGGGGAAAAAAACAAAAUCUUAAAAACUUAAACUUCAUUUCAGCCCAGUUUGUUUAAUAUAUGUGAUUAUUAUAUAUAUACACUAAAUAAUUUUUCAAAAAAUAUGUAACACCUUUUACUCAAGUAAACUCGAGCAACGAAUGUUAUAUUUAACACUGAACAAUUAUUGAUGAUUUCAAGUAUUUUUAAAAUUAGACUUUUAACAAUGAUUUCAAGGUGUUAUUAUUCCUUAGAAACAUAAUUAGACUAUUAAUAAAGUUUAAUAUCAUAUAAAAUUUAUUUUGGGACUCAUUUAAUUCAAAUGAAAAUUUUCAACUAUGGGUCCAUAUGUCUCGAGACAAAAGCUUAUUGGUCUCAAGACAUAGUCAUGACACUGUAGAAGUUCAGUUUCGAAGUUGCCUUGUCCUAAGUCUCGAGACAUGUGAACUGUGUCUUGAGACAUAAAAACUUCGAAACUAAAAAUCUAUCAUAACUGAGUCAUGUCUCAAGACAUAAGCCCCUUUGCCUCAAGACUUAUACUCGUGUGUCUCGAGACAAGCCAUUUUGAAGCUACACUUCUAUGGUGUCAUGGUUAUGUCUCGAGACAUACAGGUUUACAACUGAAAAGUUUUAUUUGAAUUAAAUGAGACUCAAAAACAAAUUUUAUAUGUGAUUAAUCUUUAUUAAUAAUCUAAUUAUGUUUUUAAAGGUGUAAUAAGGCCUUAAAUUUAUUUUUAAAAGUCCAAUUUAAAAGUAUUUAAAAUCGUAAAUACAUGUUCAAUGUUAAAUGUUUACUCGAGUAAAGGGUGUUGCAAAAUAUCAAUAAAUUUAAAAUAAUACAUUAAAACAAAUCAAGAUUAAUACGUACCAGUUUUAAAAAGAACAAUGCGUCCAGCUGCCGAUAUGGUACUGACUAACUUACGAUACUUGGAUCCUGUGAACUACAUCAUCCAUGGAUGGCCUAUCUCUUGGCUUACAAGACAAGCAACUCCAAGCAAUUUCAAUCAUCUCCACCAUGCUUUCAUUCACUUCACUCCCCAUCUUCGUAUCGCAUAAAUUGUCUAAUGCUGCUCCCUUUAUUUUCUUCUCACGCAAGUAAGCGCUCAAGUUCGUCAUCGAAGGCCUUUGCCCCGUGAUUAGCUCUAACAACAAAAUCCCAAAGCUGUAAACGUCGGAUUUUUGUGUGAAUGUUUUCUGAUAAUGGUACUUUAGCUCCGGCGCAACUCGACCUGGGUUUCGUUUGACGAUCAUUUCAAGAGGGACUAAGUACGGUGUUUCGUAGCUAGAUAGGCACGCGGAGAAAUCUACUCGGAUUAGGAUGUUAGAAGCUUUGAUCACACCGCAAAUGAGUGGUUCGCCAUUUUUGGUUACUCGGCUGUGGAUUAAUGCCACCGCUUGGGCUGCAUAUAGUGCUAUUUUUUUCCUUAUUUCCCAGUUCAGUGGAGUGAACUGAACUCCUUCACUGCCUACUCAUUUAAAAUUGAUAGAAAAAUGUUAAUUUAAACUCCAAAACAUAUUUUUAAAAUUUAAAAAAAUUAUUUAAUUGCUGACAAGGCAUUCACGUGACACCUUGUGUGUAUGCCACAUCAGUAAAAUUCAUAAAUAUUAAAAUUUUUAUUUAUUUUGAGAUGAUUUGAUAAAUAACGAAAAUUUCAAAAUUAAAAAAAAAAUUAAAAAUUAAAUGGAAUGCUAAAAUCACUUUUUUUUCAUAGAAUUAAAAGACAAAAUAAAUCAUCAUAUUUUAUAUUAACGAUUUUAGAAGUGAAAAAAAUAAUAUUUUACAUUUAAAAUAAAAUCUAAAAUAUAAUUUCACACAACAGUAUACAAACAUGUAACUAUGAUUAUUUACUAAAUAUAUUUAUACAUUCAAAACAUUACUUGGAAUGGUAAAAUUUUAAUAAGAGCCUUAAAUUUUUUGAAAUUUUUAAAUAGAUCCUCAAUAUUCAGUUUUGUUAGAAUUAGAUCUAACUAUUGAUCGAUUUUAUCAAUCAAAACAAAAGUAUUGAACUUAUUUUUGAACAAACUAUUUAAAAUCAUAAUAAUUUAAUAGAUUCAGACCAUUCAAAAUCAGUGAUUUGAUGUAAAAAAGCCAUCACUCAAAGAGAUGAUGAUGACUACGUAGAAUCAUAGUUUACCAUGUAAAAGCUCCUCCAAGCUUCCCAAGAUCAAAUACUCGUACAAAAUAAAAGCUUCGCCGCCGUACCAAAAGCUAAAAAGUAUCGGCAACAACCAAUCGUUCUUCAUCCCGCCAAAGAAAUUGAUCCACAACUCCAGACCACUGGCAUUCAUAAUCAGCCCUUCUCGAAUCUUCCGAAUCGUUAUGAUCGAACCGCAUUGGAGAACAACCUUAAACAACGUCCCUAAAGUACCUUCGCCGAGCCUUGUUUUAGGGAUUUGAGCUAUUUCCGGUGGAUCAAACUUCUCGGCAACCUUAAUUUCACCAAAUAUUACUUUAAACGGAAGCGUGACCUUAACUUCCAGCAACGAAAUCGGCGUCGUCGUGAUCGUCGUCACUUUUCCGUCGCUGGAUUUCGCCUUCUUUUUGUUAGCUCUGAUGCAUAUUAAGACGGUGAAAGCAACGAGGAGUGCGAGCGUCAACGCUGUGUAAAUUAACGCUAAUCCGACAAGUUUCAUGAUUUGGGAUAAAGAUUAAGUGAAAUUCAUUUGGAAUGGGAGUUUCUAAGAUUUUUUUCUCCUUUUUUUCUUCAUUUCUUCUUAGGUUUUUUCACCAUAGACUUUGGGAUCAUCAAGCAGCCAUACCGGACCUUAGACUGCCUUAUUUCAUAUCUAUAGGUGAUGAAAUUUCGGUUAAACCGAAUUAAUCGACUAAACCCAUCUAUUCGAUUAAUCGAUAGUUAAUCAAUCUAAUUCAGUCGGAAAUUAGUUAAUGAUAUUUUAGAGAUUUGGUUAUAGAUUAAUUUGGUUCAAAAUUGGAUAAUUAAUUGAAUUAACUGAACUUAAUAAUUAAUAAUACAAAUUAUAUGUAGUUUUAAUUUAGUUAAUUCGGAUAAUUCGAUCAAACGAGCAUUAUCAAUUUAUUUUUUUCUAUGUUUUAUACUGGUUUUAACCAAAAACAUAUAUAUAUAUAUAUAUAUAUAUAUAAAUUUCGGUUAAUUUGAUUAAUCGGCCGAAUUAACCAAAAUAUUCCAGUUAGAUUAAAUUUUUUAAAAAAAAAUUAGUUUGAUUAAUGGUUAAAAGAUUAAAAAGUUUGGUUAAUACUAGUUCGGUACGAUUAACCGUUUGAACACCCCUAUCUAUAACUAUAUAAAAACAAUCCCCAAUUGGACUUGUAGCCAACAUCUACCCAUUAAUGAGCAUACAGAAUGCGGAUGAUUAGUUGCUGAGCUCGUUCCGAUAGAUACAUUGAAAAAAAUCCCCAAGAGGAUUAUACUUUAGGGUUUUUCCUUCUUUUUUUCUCGCUAUGCCGAUUAUAUCCCAAAUGAAUUGGAUUAUUAAAAAGAUAAAUAUCAAAUUUAUACAUGAAUUUUAAUUUGGUGUAAUUAUAUAUAUAAUUUUAAUUUAAUUGUACAUAUUUAAUUAAAUGAAUACACACAUUUAUUUUUAUUAAUAAGGUAAACUACACCAUUUGUCACUAAACUAUGGGUAAGCUUUCGUUUUGGUCACUUGACUAAAAAAGUUACAAAUUGGUCAUUGAACUAUUAGAAAAUUUUCAUUUAAGUCAAUGAAUGAUUCAAAAGUUUUUAUUUAAGUCACUAGGCUCUUAAGUUUAUUUAAAACUAAGUUUCGCUUGCGAGCUCCAAGCGAUGAUUCGACAAUCGGUAUGAUGGAUUAAUACCCAUUGACGAGUAAAAGAACAUAUCUCGGAUCCAAGUCGAUUUGAUGGUCAAUGUCGGAGGUCGGAGAAAAAAAUUGUUUGAAUUUUUUUCGUAGGUUCAUAACGUUUAAAGCUAUUUCAUGAAAAAACUAAACUGUAAAAGAGAAUGAGAAAUAGAGCUUUAGAGUGGUGCAAGCAAUGCAAACAAGGAAAGCCAUAAAACAGUGACUUACAUGAAAACUUUUAAAUAGUUCAAUGACUAAAUUAUAAAUUUUUUUUAGUUAAGUGACAAAAACGAAAACUUACUCAUAGCUUAAUGACUAAUAAUGUAGUUUAUCCUUAAUAUAAUUGUUUGUAUAUAUAAUAUAUCAACGUAAAAUGAUGUUAAUGUAUUAUCAGUGAUUUGUGAAAAUUAAAUCAAAAUAAAAUUUCAUGUAUAAAAUCCCAAAAAAUUAAAAUUGAUUUAUGAUAUUGCUCAUUAGAUAAAAUUUAUAUUUAUCCCUAGUUUGAUACAUGUCUAACUUUUUCACUUGACAUAAGACAGUUUUUUCUGUUAAAAUAUUCCAUAAAUCCUUGUACUCUUUAUAAAUUUAAACUUUAGUCUAUAUACUUUUUAUUUUUAAGAAUUGAGUCAUUUUACUUUUCAAAUUUCAAAAUUUAAGUCUAAUUAUUAAUACUAUUAAAUUUAUUUUGUUAAAUUUUGAUUCAUUAUAAUGUUAUUUUCUUAGCUACAUGGUCACAUGGCGGUCUUGAUUUUCUUUUUUAACGUCGUGGGCCGAUUUGGGUAACGGAUUAUAAUUUAAAUACUAAAUUAAAACAAAAAAAAUUCAGGUACUAAAAUUGAAAAACAUAUAUAAUUCGAGGCCCGAAUUGAGGUUUAAGCCUUUUUUUAAUUUCGGAUCAAUUCCAACCCAUUUUAAGAAAUAAUAACAAAAUACAAAAAAAUAUAAUUAAUAAUUUUAUAUAUUUAUAAUUAAAUUUAAAUAAAAAUAUUUUAUUAUUUUAAUAAUAAAAAGAAUCAUUUAGAUGAACCCAAACGGGUGGGACUCAAUCUUACCGUUUUCUUAGCCCGACCCGGCCCGGCCAUAAGCAACCAUAACGGGCAAUUCAACUUUACAAGCAAUAAUGUUGAUGAAGAAGUGGAAGACGUUAAAUCUGUCUGCAUCUUUUUUCCCACACUUAUCUUCAAUUUCAUUUUCCAUCUAUUAUAUUUUUCCAAUUAAAAUGUGCUCGAAGUCGUUAUAUUUUUCAUAUUUAAAAAUUAAUUUUUUUAUUUUUAUUUUUAAGAAUUUAUUUUUUAUUUUAAAAUUUUAAAAUGUAAAUCUAAUAAUAAAUUCCAACUAAAAUUUUCAAUUAGAUUCACCCAUAUGAUAGUUUAAAAUAAGAAAAAUGAAGUUAUAAUAAAUCAAUUUUUUAAAAAAAUUAUGUUAACAAUAAUUUAAAUUUAAAAAUUUAAAAAUAAAAUAACUAAAAUUUAAAAGUAUUAAUAAUAAAAGAAUUUAGACUAUUAAAAACAAUAUUAAACUCCAUUAAAAAUUAGGGUAAACUAUUAAAAUAGUUAUUUUUGUUUGCCUUAGGUUGCAUUUUAGUUACUUAUGUUUGAAACGUUAUGUUUUAGUCACUUACGUUAUCGUGUUGUAACAUUUUAGUCACUGAGUCGUUAAUUGUCGACAAUGGUGUAAUAGUAAGUUGAUGUGGCAUGUUAAAUCAUCAUUUCAAAUGAAAAUUUUAGGUUAAAUUCUACAAUUGGUCCCUAUAUUUUUUUUAUUUUCAACGAUUUAAAAAUUUUCUUUUAUAUAUGUUCUUCUAACUUUUUUUUCCAUUCUCUUAUGCUUCUCCAUCUAUUUUCUUCCAUUCUUCAUUUCUUUUAACAUAGUUUUUCUAUAUUUUCCAUUUGUAACUAGUCUACAAGCUCGCCUCACUCGAAAAAAUUAAAUUGGUCAAAAAAAUAAAACAUAGAAAAACUACGUUGANNNNNNNNNNNNNNNNNNNNNNNNNNNNNNNNNNNNNNNNNNNNNNNNNNNNNNNNNNNNNNNNNNNNNNNNNNNNNNNNNNNNNNNNNNNNNNNNNNNNNNNNNNNNNNNNNNNNNNNNNNNNNNNNNNNNNNNNNNNNNNNNNNNNNNNNNNNNNNNNNNNNNNNNNNNNNNNNNNNNNNNNNNNNNNNNNNNNNNNNNNNNNNNNNNNNNNNNNNNNNNNNNNNNNNNNNNNNNNNNNNNNNNNNNNNNNNNNNNNNNNNNNNNNNNNNNNNNNNNNNNNNNNNNNNNNNNNNNNNNNNNNNNNNNNNNNNNNNNNNNNNNNNNNNNNNNNNNNNNNNNNNNNNNNNNNNNNNNNNNNNNNNNNNNNNNNNNNNNNNNNNNNNNNNNNNNNNNNNNNNNNNNNNNNNNNNNNNNNNNNNNNNNNNNNNNNNNNNNNNNNNNNNNNNNNNNNNNNNNNNNNNNNNNNNNNNNNNNNNNNNNNNNNNNNNNNNNNNNNNNNNNNNNNNNNNNNNNNNNNNNNNNNNNNNNNNNNNNNNNNNNNNNNNNNNNNNNNNNNNNUGGUCAUCGAUUUAAAUGAUGAUUGCGGUAUGAGUAUUGUUGUCAAUAUAAGAGAACGUAAAUUUACUGUUAAUACAAAAGAACGUGAAUUUAAGUGGUUGAAAUGUAUUAUUCUCUUAUAUAAAAUUUGAAAGUUUGAUUUGAGCUAUGGUAAUUCCAAAAUAAAAAAAUUAAAAAGGGUUGUAUAGGAAAUUAAUAUUAAAUAAAAUAUAUAUUUAAUUAAAUUAUACAAAUAGAAACUUUAAAAUUACAAAAAGAAAUUUAAAAAAUAUAUCUUCAUUGAUAAAAAGAAUACCUAAUCAAAAUUCAAAAUUCUCAUAUAAUGAAGCAAAAAUCCAAAAAAAAAUUGUUGAAAGUUAAAGAAAUUCAAAUAGAAAAUAGACUUCUCCAGUCCUUAAAAUACAUGAUUAACCUAAAUUUACACAUUCAAAUUCCCAAACGUAGCUAGUAAAGCAACAACAGCAAAAAUUUGAAGAGGAUUCAAACCGAUCAUUUUCUCUAAUGAAAAGGAAAAAAGAAGAAAAAUUCAGAAAAUUGAAACUGAUCAUCAAGGAAGAAACCCGACUAAGGGAACCGGAGUAGCGAAGGACCGGCUAGCCGUCAUUACUGGCGGCGAGUGGUUUUGAUGAAUGACUAUUCCGACUGCUUCGGCCACAACCACGACGAACUCUACGGCUAGUUUCAUCAAUUCAACGCACAUCUCCAAUUUUUGAAGCACCAUUUUUGCAAAGCUCUUUAAUCUUUUCUUUCUUCUUUUUUUCCCCUUUUUAUCUUUUCUCUUCUAUCAGCUGACCUCUAAGAUGCCUUUAUUUAUAAACAAUUAGGUGUGAGUACUUUUGUAUUUUAUUGGGUAAAUUUCAUAAUUAUAUAUGAACUUUGGUCAAUUAUGCAAUUUGGUAUAUGAACUUAGGUUUGGUGUAAUUGUACACACGAAACUUCGAUUUUAAUUCAACUGCAUACAUUUAAGAAAAUAAAUAUACUAAUUUAU